rnacentral:lncRNA from 1 species
UCAAGCACAUAAAGAAGGCGGAGGGCAGCACGCAAAUCACUGGUUCCUUCAGUAACAUAGGAUGGGGAGGCUCUCUUGAGGUGGUCCACAAAGAAGCAACAUUCACCAGAAGAAAAAUGCACUGCUGAAUCUGCACCAAAGCACUCUGAACAGCAGUAUCGAAGAGAACAGCAAAUCGUGCAAGAAACUACACAGGGGGCUUGUGGCAGUAAUUUGGUGAAGCACGAUGAGCAAUGGGACUGGAGGAACACAUCAUGUAGGGCGGUGGCAUAAGGUGCGAUUUCCCCAGUUAGGUCCUUCGACGAGCUUACAGAUUCCCGGGCCCUCAUCUCCAUUGCCAACCUUUGAAGCUUCCUGGCCUGUUGUGAAGUUCUGUACAUAGCAUAUAAUUAGUACUUUGGCAAAUAGAACAUAACUUGUUUUAUUUUAUAUUUCUUUUUCAUUUGUUUGCCAUUUUGAAGUAAGUUCCCUACACCUGAAUUACACUCUUGUGCUCCAACACUUAUCAGAAUUGAUUGAGGACCAUAACUUGAGAGAACCCAAUGCUUAUCAAAAUUGAACUACUUGUUCCAAAGUAAUCUAACCACCUUUACUGCAAGCACCCCAUAACACACGAAAAAUAACAUCCCAGUUUUUUCCUCGAAAAUCCCCAUAUGAUUAGGCAAAACAGGAACAAAAGCAAACUUGAUCAGACAAACCAAUUUGUAGUGGUUGGGUAAUAAAGAAAAGGCUGAUGCUCCCAAUCCACCAGUGGAGCCACUAGAUUAGGUCUAGAAACACCAAACCCUUACCCUAAUGGCUAAAACUAAGCAAAGGUUGAUUCAGGAGAGGCUCUACUUUCCUUAAACCAAUGCAGCGCCAUUCACAGACCAGGCGGAGAAAGAAAUAGCGACAGCUAUGGAAGAGAGGAGAGGAUUCAAGCAGGGGCCGAUCAAGGAAAAGUAUAAGGGUUCUAAAAUACAAGAGCCAUAGACCAACUUGAGUUAAAAUGUCGCAUACAAGACCCAUAUAGGAGUUUAAGGGGGUGUUUAGUUCCCCAUAGAAUCCAAAAUGCAAAAUACCAACUACUUUAGAGUGAUGAAAUACAAAAUGCUAAAAUUUUCAGGGUCAUGUUUAGUUCCAUCUAAAAUACAGAAUUUAUUACCCUCAUGACAGCCUCUUGAGUUGGCCUCUUGAGGCCAAAAUCCAAAAUAGAGAAUAACCACCUUUUUGCCAAAAAAAUUUGCAUGGUGUUUAGUUCCAUUUUGCAAAAUAAUGAACCAAAACUCAAAAAAUUUUGAGAAAAAAGGAGAACUAAACACCCCCUAAACCAGUUUUACAUGAAAACAUAGCGGAACAAUCCAGAAUACAUCGCUCAGAGAAGUAAAAUACAGUAUGUGAUUUGUCCAUACCAAAUCAAUAGAUGACACGGACACCAAUUAAUAUUCACUAGAGCAUGAUUAACAGAUAGUAUGGCAAAUAACAAUGAGCAAUCUACAUAACGAAUUGCAGAGAAUGAUGCUAAACAAUCUGCAUUUUAUCUACAACCGGAAACUGAGAAUCAAAAUAGGGGCUUAUUGAAGCAGUGAAAUGGAACCGCAUUUAUAUACCUAGUUAGUACUUACUUGAAUUCUCCCAAUUCUGCAAAACACAAAUUGGUGAGUGCCGUCACCAAUCCUCCAGGGCCCAGCGCAGGGACAGCUGCGCAGCAGUGGGACGCGAUAGCCCCCUGCCUAGCGCCGGCUUUGAUGCGUCGUGGCGCUGAGACCGGCCGCGCGCUCGCGCGUCGCCCGGUGCCGCGCCGUCGCCGGGCGCGCCCUGCUGUGCUGCUCGCGGCCUCGGGCCGCCGCGAUGCGCGAUGAGCGGAUGCACAGAUGCCGCGCCGGCUCCUCGGCCGCUCAGUCUCCCCCGGCCGUCGCCGCCGUCGCCGCCACGCACUAGCUGCUAGCCUGCUAGGCCCAGCUUCAACUGCCCUCUAGUGGGCCCUUCUUUGCUUAGGCCGAUCCAAAAAUUUUUAAAAUUUUAAUAGUGUAGCAUUUUUAUUUUUUAUUUGACAAAAGUUGUCUAACUAAAUCUAAAAGAUUCGUCUUGUAAUUUAUAAAUAAAAUAUGUAAUUAAUUUUUGUUUUCAUCUAUAUUUAAAAACUUCAUACAUGUAUCUUAAGAUGAAUUUAGUUUUUGAGUGAACACUACAUCGAUCUUCAGGCCUAGUUCCAGAUUUCUUUCAUUGGGCCUGGCCCAUAGAAUAGAGCAAGAGCGGGCCUUUUUGGACUAUGUGGGCCAUGGAAUCUACUUCGGUCAAAAUUUCUCUCUUGAUUGGUAGUUGGACUGGGCCUCAGUUCAUAUAUGAGUAAUUUUUUAAUAAAAGGAAAUAGUUUUAAGCAAGGGACAAAAACAUAGAGCAUGACUUAAAAAUAUUUUCUAAGGCAAAAUAAGUUUUCUAAUAAUUUAUAACAAUAAAUCAGAGUUCCAUGUUUUUAAAAUCCGAUUUUCUAAUUAAGGGAGGCAAAUUAGAAUUGCACAGUACCUGAGGGAGAUUAGAUAGUUUUUUUUUAAAAAAAUGAAUUCUCCAGAAAAAGGUGCUUUUAACAUCUCUCAACUUUUAUGAUAAUCUAAUUUUCGUACCUCAUUUAUAAAAAACUAGUUUUUAGCCUCCUUAAUAAGUUUUAAAGUUUUGUUCUAUGAAUGGUUUUGGACCACAACUUUGUGUAACGUAACGCCACGUUAACCACAUUACGUCACCUAUUGUAAAAAAACCACAUUGCGUCAGCUGCGAGGGGAUAAAUUAAACUUGAUAGUUUAUGUAGUAAAUUGGACUAUAAAUGUUUUUUUUUGAAAAUUAUCAAAUAGUUUUCCUGUAGAAUACGUCAACCACACUACGUCAAUUGUGAUGGAUAAAUUAAACAUGAUAGUUUAGUUGGUAAAUUCGACUAUAAAUGUUUUGUUUUUGAAAAAUUAUCAAAUAGUUUUCUUGUAGAAUACGUCAAUCACACUACAUCAGCUGCAAGGGGAUAAAUUAAACUUGAUGCUUUAGGUGGUAUAAAUCAUCAGACUAUAAAUGUUUUUUUGAAAAAAAUAUCAAAUAGUUUCUUGUGGAUUUAUGCCAAUAAAAAACCUAUAGUUUUGUAUAAUAUGAGGAAAAUCAUAAAAAAGGGUGUAUCUUGAAAAUUAUUAAACAAUUUUCAAUUUUUUUAGAAAAUAAUGCUCUACUCUACUUUGUCUACACUGAAGUUAUUUAAAUAUUUUAUGCACUUUUUUGUGAUUUUUAUUUGCUAGUAGAUACUUGUGUUAUCUAUUAUACUCUAUCCUAAAUUAUAAGGUAUUCUAAAAAUCUUAGAGAGUUAAAACAUCUCAAGUUUGAUCAAAUUAUACAAAAAAUUAUAAAGAUUUACGAGAUCAAGUAGAUAUAUUAUGAAAAUAUAAUUGAUGAAGAACCUAUACUUAGUAUCAUAAUUGUGUGAGCACUAGGGUUUUUCUCGGAACCCAUGGAUUGCAGCCACUUCGCAAUGAGGCCCCAAAAGCACCGCCGCAUAAGCCAAGUCAAGUCAGGCCGCUAAGUCCUCACCAUCAGAGCAGGCACCUAUGCCGGCCAGAAAGCCGCCGGCAGCCGGCAGGAGGGAGCCUAACACCGCGCAGCUUGAAGGGCCCGGACUAGAGGGAUGAGCCUGAGCACCGGCAACCGGCUGCACACCACCAGCAGCAGUGUGACGCACGCGCCAAGGCAACGACAACAUCCUUCCCCUGAACGACCACCCAGCGGAGAAGGCCGGCGCAGUCGUCUGCCACUCGACGAGGAUGCCCACUGGACGGCGCGGCCGACCAAAGCGGAUCAAGAGCCUCGAAAAUGGCGCAAGCCACCCGCACCCCGAGCAUCAGCUACGGACGCCGUAGAUGGGAACGAGAGGGCCAGAUCCGGCCCACAGGAGGUCAGAUCCGUGCCUCUGGCCGCCGAGCCCACCGGAGAAGUGUCGGAGCAAGUCACGUUGGUGAAAGAUCGGAAGGGAGAGGGAGAGGUGUUGGGAGGGGAAGGGAGGAACGGGGUGGGUGCCCCUUUUCGGGCUAACCACGGGCCGCCGCCGCCGCCGCCGCACGCCGGAGGGCGGCGGCGGCGGCCGGAGGAGAGCGUCGAUCGGGAGGGGGCCUGGGAGCGCGGCGGCUUUCCGUUUCGCGGGGUCCCUAAUACAUUGCAGUUUAGUUCUAGACAACCACAAUACUCUGUUUCUUUACGAGGGCAAAGUAUAAUUUUUUUUCCGAGAUCGGGUGAUUCACCCAUUUUUCAUUAAGAGGAAAUGAGGUAAUUUACAUAGGAUCUGUUACCAACAAAAUCUCACAGACACAAACAACAAGAAAAUAGGAGGGGGGACCCUCCACCUCAAAGCGCCAACUGAUUAAGCCUAAUACAAGAGCUCAAUUAAGACACAUAUACAGACACACGUGUAACUCGUGUUGUUCAACCGUGCGUGGAACGCGCACCUUGCAAACCCAAAAAACACAUCAGUAGCCAGUAUAUAGUACGUGUGUAGUGAAAACCGCAAAUGAGAGAGAGUUUCAUCAGAUUAGAGAGGAGUUUCAUCUCUAUAAAACUUAUGUGACUUGGUUAUCUAGUUUAUAGCCUUGGUAACUGUGUCAUGAAACUAUGCAUUGAGACUCUGUUCUUAGAGAUCCUUAUUAAUGCACAAAGAAAAACCGCAAGACAAGGGAAGAUUAGGAUGUCCAAGAUGAGCAUGCCAAGCACAGCGAGGACAGGCUUGCUCCAGGCCCUGUGGAUAUCGUCGAGGACGGCUGCCUUGCACGAGUCGCACUGGAAGCAUAGCGUUUCCUGCUGGUUGCUCCACCUGCCGCAGUCGUCGCUGUUGUUAGUUGGGCCGGCGCCUUGUGUUGGUGUCCACGUCGUCUGAUUCACGUACGUGAAUGCACACGAUAAUGGUGGUUUGCAGCAUCCUGACUGUCCAUAUGCAAUCACAGGAUGAGGUCAGAUCAGAGUAUUCCAGUACUUAACAUACACAAAAAAAAGACGUGGAAACAAGCGAUGAGAUAGAGGAAGCAUGCACACCUGGAUCGGCGAGAGGCCCUGCUCGGAGUAGAGAACGCUUGUGUUUGGGUCGCGUACCAUCGGGCUCGUACCAUCGCAGGCGUGCCUGCGGCGCAGGCACUUGCUGAUUGUGGCCCAGUACCUGGCAUUAGCCAUGCGACGCUUGAGCGAACCGCCGUAGUCACUGAGGUUGUACUCGCGGACCGAGUUGACCUCAAUGGGAUCGAUGUCGAUGCCGGCGAUGCCAAAUUUGGACUCCUCAGGCGUGUAACACCCUUGGACCGCCUGCGAUCGCCGUCGGCGUGAGCGCACGCGUGGACACAGAUAUACGAGGAAGCGGGUGAGGUAAACCCCUCUGCCUUGGCUUCGAGUCUUUACUGAAUGAACGAUGGUCCUCUCCUUUACAAGUUCAGGCAUAUAUAUGCCGAUACAGACUCUGGCCAACUGGCCCUACUGGACAGUACAAGUAUGAAAGCGUAAACUAGCAAGUGCAUUUAACAAGUAAGGAAACGCCUGGGUUGUGGCACACCCUCGCAGUGGUCAGCUCCAGGUGUGACACCUCCCCCGCCGAAGAUGCAGCUUGUCCCCAAGCUGGCGCGUUAGGAAAGCGCUGCUUGACGACGUUGUAGUCUUCCCAGGUUGUAGCUGAUGCCGGCAGCCCUAACCAUGUGAGCUUGACCUGAGGUAUAGCUGUGUUGCCCUUCUUUACGAGUCGACGAUCAAUGAUCAUGUGUGGUUGAGUGUCCACCGCCUCCAAAUCAGUGACACCUGGUAGAGAUUCAUAGACAGGGGUAUAAUCUGCAGUAAAUGGUUUAAGUUGUGAGAUAUGAAAAACUGGAUGGAUCAGGGCGCCGUCAGGCAACUUCAGUUUGUAUGCGACUGAACCCACUCUCUCCAGAACUUCGUAUGGUCCAUAAUACUUGUGUGCCAAUUUGGGGUAUGGUCUGUUGGCGACAGAAGAUUGUGUGUAUGGUUGUAGCUUCAAGAGUACCUGAUCACCCACAUUGAAUUGACCCAUACUGCGUUUCUGAUCUGCAUAAAGUUUCAUCUUGUUCUGAGCUCUGGCUAAAUGUUCUUUGAGAGACUGUAGAUGGAGUUCCCCGUUGGCAACUACUUCAGCAACUGAUGGGUCAGUGGAAGGUGGAAUGGUAGGUACUGCAGCAAUAUUGUGAUCAUACCCAUAUAAAGCUUUGAAAGGGGAACAGCCGAGUGAUGUAUGAUGAGAUGUGUUAUACCAGAGUUCAGCGAGGGAGAGCCAUGAUUUCCAGGUUUUGGGAUCCUCCUGGACAGCACACCUAAGAUACAUUUCCACACAUUGGUUGACCCUCUCUGAUCUGUGUUGCGGGUGGUAUGCUGUGCUCAGUUGUAGAUUGACCUUGUAAAUCUUGAAGAGUUGCUUCCAGAAGUGACUGACAAACACAGUGUCUCGAUCAGAACAAUAGAUGAGGGUAAACCAUGGAGUUUGACCACUGUAUCCAUAAAGAGCUGGGCUAUGGAUGUAGCUGUGUAAGGGUGUUUCACUGGUAUGAAAUGUGCAUAUUUGGUCAGUCGAUCCACAACUACCAUGAUGACACUGUAACCCUCAGACUUAGGCAGUCCUUCUAUGAAAUCCAUAGAUAAAUCUCGCCAGACCCCUUCAGGAAUGGGCAAUGGCUGUAGGAGACCCAUAGGGUGGUGUAAUGAAUGUUUGGCUUGUUGGCACACAACACACUGCUUAACAAAGUUCUCCACAUCCUCCACAUCCUGUUUGAUGCCCUUCCAAGCGAAGUACUUUUUGAUUCUGCUAUAGGAAGCAGCUAUGCCAGAAUGGCCUCCCAAAGCACUGGACUGGCAUGCAGCUAUGAGUUUGGUUUGAAGAGCUGAGUUGUUACCAAUCCAAACUUUGCCAUGGUGCCAGAUCAAGCCGUUGUUGAAACUGUAACCCUGCUGGUCUGGGCUGUGUAUAGCGAGCCUUUAGAGGAGUUGUUGGGCAUGGCUGUCAGUAGUGUAACUGUUGAGUACUUCCUGGAUCCAAGCAGGUUGGACAGCAGAGACUGCCUGAAGUGCCAUCAUAUGUCCCACUCUAGAUAGUGCAUCAGCUGCUAAGUUCUCUUUUCCUUUUCUAUAAAUGUAAACCCAUUAAUCUUGUCAUUGCUUUCCUUUGCAUCUCAGAGUGCAAAUUUUGUUCAUUCAAAUAAGCUAAGGACUUAUGAUCAGUUUGAAUCACAAAUUCUUGUCUGUGCAAGUAAUGUCUCCAUUUUUCCACAGCCAUGAUCAAUGCUAGGAACUCCUUUUCAUAAAUUGAGAGUGUCUUGUGCUUCUCACUGAAUGCUUUGCUAAGGUAAGCUAUGGGUUGGCCAUGUUGCAUUAAAACUGCCCCAAUUCCAUCUUGACAUGCAUCUGUCUCCACAGUGAAUGUGUCCUGGAAAUUUGGUAGUGCCAACACUGGAGUCCUUGUCAUGGCAAUCUUGACAUUGUCAAAAGCAGAGCCACAGGGUUCCAAGCAAACUGUUUGAGUCUCAAAAUAGAAGUGAAGGGUUUGGUCAGAAUGCCAUAAUUCCUUACAAAUUUCCUAUAGUAUCCUGUUAAACCCAAGAAUGCUCUGAGUUCUUUCAUAGAAGUUGGUACUGGCCAAUGCAACAUUGCUUGAAUCUUCCCUGGAUCAGUGGAGAUUCCUUUUGAUGAGAUGAUAUGGCCCAAGUAUUCUAGACUAUCUUGUGCAAAGGUGCAUUUUGUAGCUUUGAGAUAUAGUUGAUGUUUCUGGAGUGUGAGCAAUACUUGAUCCAAAUGGAUGAGGUGAUCUUCCAUGGAGUUGCUAUAUAUUAGGAUGUCAUCCAGGAAGACUAGGACACACUUUCUAAGGAAUGGCUGUAACACUUGGUUCAUGACACACUGAAAAGUUGCUGGGGCAUUUGUCAAUCCGAAAGGCAUGACCUUGAACUGAUAAUGGCCCUGAUGUGUCUUGAAGGUUGUCUUAUGUUCAUCUUCAGGUAACAUUCUGAUCUGGUGGUAGCCGGAUCGCAUGUCCAGUUUGGUAAACACCUUGGCGCCAGACAAUUCAUCCAGAAUCUCCUCAAUGACAGGCAUUGGAAACCUAUUCUUCACUGUGAGAUCAUUCAAUUUUCUGUAGUCAACACAAAAACGCCAUGUGCCAUCUUUCUUUUUCACCAAUAGUACAGGAGAAGCAAAUGGACUAUGCCUGCGGGCAAUGAGGCCAGCCUGUAAGAGAUGUUUCACUUGGUUUUCAAUUUCUGUUUUGUGCAAUGGAGAGUAAUGGUAGGGUCUGCAAUUGAUUGGAACUGACCCUGGUAUCAAAGGAAUGGCGUGAUCAUAGCUAGGGUGGAAGAGUUUGGGGAUCAGAGAAGACAGUCUGGUAUUUGUUGAUAAGAUCCCUAACUACUGGUGGAGGCACAGCUUCCUGAGAUGCAGUAGGUGGUGAAUCUGCUAUGUAGUCCAUGAGGACAAAAGCCCAAAUGUCAUUGCCCUUAGUAGCAUUGUAUACCUUGGUAGCUGAUAUGGAGGACAGUUCGAGUGGUUGUUCCCGAAGGCCUUGUAAUUUGAUCAUCUCCCCUUGUUCUAGAAAGUGGAUUAUUUUGUUCUGCCAGUCACACUCCAUAGGACUAUGGGCCUCCAGCCAGUCAAAUCCCAAUAUAGCAUCAUAUGGGUUCAUAUCCAAUACAAUCAUAUCAGCUGUAAAGCUCUGUCCUUGGCAAUAGCAUUGUAACUUAGGUACCAUUCUAUGAGUCACCAAACUUUCCCCAUUAGCUAGUCUAACUUUCUUUUUCUUGAUGGGUAUGGUUGGCAGGUUGGCUAGCUGCACAAAAUUUGAGCUGAUAAAACUGUGAGUACUGCCACUGUCUACUAGGAUGAGCAUCACUUUAUCUUUCACCCUUGUCUUGAGUUUGAUAUAGUUAGCUGACUCAAGACUAGUGAUAGCAUUCAGAGACAGCUGACUAAAUUCUUCCUGUAAUUGAUCUUCCACUGCCAACUCAUCCAGUACUUCAUCAGAGAGCUCUCUGUCGAGAUCAUUGGCUACUAUUGCAUUGGUCUGUGGUUUGUUUUGUUUGGGGCACACUGCCAUGUGUCCUGGAACAAAUUUUUCACCACAGCUGUAACAGAGGUUAUUAGCUUUUCUGUAGUCUCGGAGUUGUCUAUCUCGCCACAGAGAUGGGGCAGGAGUGGGUGGUUUAGUGUCCCCUCUUGGUUGGACAUUUUGCUUCUGUGAAUUGCCAUACCGCUGAUAUUUGGCCUUGCUUUUGUCUUGCACCCCUUGCUGAAUUUUUGCAAUAAUAGAGGCUGUGUGAACCGUUGGUGGUCUUUGAGGCUCCACAACUCCUCUGAUGUCCUCCUUGAGGCCUCUGAUGUACUGAGGUGUGAAAAAGGCUUCAUCAUAUUGAGCAUUGUGCAUAGUAAUGGUAUACUGCAGAGACUGAAAUUGUGCUGUAUAUUCUUCCACUGUUCCAGUUUGCCUGAGAUCGAAUAGCUCAUUCAUUGCUGCCCUGAAGUCAUCCUCCCAAAUUCUUCUUAGAUCACUUGACAAAAGUGGUUCUAGUUUUGAAAAGUGUGACUUUGCUUGUAUGCUUGGUACCAUUUUGCUGCAUUGCCUUCAAAAUGUAUAUGGGCAGCUGUAAUCCACAUUCCCUCUAGUAACUGAUAGAGCUCAAAAUAACUUUCACAGUUGUCUCUCCAAAUCUUUGGGUCUGUGCCAUCAAACUCAGGAAAUAACAUUUUUGGCAUUGCUAGGCCUAAGGUCCUGUGUUGUCUGACUGUAGAAGGCUCUUUGUAGUCCCCCUUGCCUCUUAGUGAAUCCUUGGUAUCUUUCUUGUAAUGUUUGGGGUGUGACUGUGUCUGCUUGUGGGUUUCUGGUUGCUUCACUUCUUUGCCUUUGGCAAAUAGGUUCUCAAAGGGUUGCUCUUCCUCUGACAGGUCAGAUGCUGAUGUACUGUCAUAUUUAGCGUCUUCAGCGAAUGACCUCAAUGUAAGCUGGACUACUGCAGCCCCAUUUGCCUUCACCUGCUGUGCUAUCAGUUGUUGUUGCUGGGCAUAGCUGUCCAUUGCUGCCCCUCUGAUAUCCAUUUGUGCCUUCAUUUGUUGCUGAACUGUGCCUAUAUCAUCCACUCGGGAGAACAGGAGGUCCAGGUGUUCCAUCAUUUGAUCCCAACGAGACUUGUCUUCCUCAGUGUUCUUGGACAUGCUGUCGAAGAGAAUUUGAGUUUGCUUGGAGGGUUUGAUAGGAGCCGUGAUGGCUGAUACAGAAAGAUCCAGGAGCAGUCAACAGGUUUGGACAGAUCCUCCCCUUUUUGGUUGCUGCUACCUCACACUGCCGCCUGAGAGUGAGGCUGAUCCGAGGAAUUUUACACAGGAACAAGCGCCCCGCAACCCAAAAUCACGGACACUCUCCCGCCAACGCCUGUGGGGGUAUAAACCCCUAUACCCUCGUGGGCCUAUAUGGGCCGCACCGUCAGAGGUGGCUCGGCCCACAAGAUGAAGACGUGCGGCGCACGACUGGUCGGCGUGCACCGCAAGGCUACAAGAUAUUGUACCAAAUAGGAUACUUUGCUUGUAACUCUGUCCCUUCAGGAUAUAUAAGGAGGGGCAGGGGUCCCCUAGAGGACAGAUCAUACAUUAUACGAUUCUCUCAACACAAAUCAAUACAACCAGACUAGGUAUUACGCCAACUCGGCGGCCGAACCUGGAUAAAAAGCUUGUCCGAGUCUUGCGUCACCAUCGAGUUCGUAGUUUGCGUACCGUCUACCGAUAAACUACUACCAUGGGUAUACCCCAAGGUAGACUGCCGACCAGCUUUCGUCGACAGUGGCGCGCCAGGUAGGGGGUGUGCGUACAGCUCUCCCGACGAACAAGAUGGCCAUCAUCCCCGACUUCGCGGCCAUGGCGGGCGACUUCACGUUCACCGUCAGCUUCAACAACUUCACCGCCAUGACCACGGAGCAGGUGUUGAUCCGAUUUGCGCCAACCACUUCUUCAUCGACGUCGGCGGCGGCUUCAACCACGCUGGCUACGGUUUCGACCACACCAGCAGCGUCUCCGACCACGCCGACAACGCGUCGCCGCUUCUCUGCUACAAAGGGAGGCAGAUCGACGACACCGACCUGCUCAGCCUAUCAACCAAGUUGUUUGGCCUACUUGCUCUGACCACGAGUCGCAAUAAUAAUCGCCGCGAAGAACGGCGCUACGACAACCGCGACCACCGUCACGAUAACAAGUCCAAAAGCUCGAGGGCCAAACAAUUUUGUCGUCACCGACCAGACUUUCAUCCAAAGAUAAGUACACUUCUAAUAUCUUAUUUAUUUUUGGCAUAAUAUUUUUUAUUAUCCUUAAAAACAACUUUUUGUUUAGCCACACUAGUUUUUUUCCUACACGAGCUUUCCAGAGCCGGUACUGUCUCCGACUCCUCCCUACACGUGCACGAGAUCCGCCCUCUGCGUUCCGGGUGGUCGGCAGUAGCUCUCUGGCGAGGCUGGCAAUCCCACGCGUGUCUAGGUUCCGCACCUCAUGCUGAUUGUUGGCUAGACCAGAGCUGGUACAAGCUCUAGGAUGAAUUAACUACUUGUGCUAAUUUUAUAACAAAAAAUCUAAAACUUAUCUCAGUACUGAUUUUUAUCUAAAGUUUAUUUAUACAUCAUGUACUACCUAUUCUUUAUAUUUAUUUUUCAGGGGUUUGGCCCAGUCGACAAGCUACGCUCGGGGACUCGUCGACUAUUCCCUACGCUGUGCCCGGGGACUGCUCCGACCACCGAGCACGUUUACGUUCCCAACCACGCUCGGGGACUUGUCGACUACUCUCUAUGCUAUGCUCGAAGACUGUGCCGACCACCGAGCACGUUUACGUUCCCAACCACGCUCGGGGACUUGUCCACCGGUCCCUACGCCGUGCUCGAGGACUGUGCCGACCACCGAGCACUAUACGCUCGGGGACUGGUCGACCAGCUCACCAAUUUAAGAACUUGGGGACUGCACCGACCACCGAGCACUAUACGCUCGGGGACUGGUCGACCAGCCCACCAAUUUGAGAACUUGGGGACUGCACCGACCACCGAGCACUAUACGCUCGGGGACUGGUCGACCAGCCCACCAAUUUGAGAAUUCGGGGACUGUACCGACCACCGAGCGUUAUAUGCUCGGAGACUGGUCGAUUAGUCUAUUCAAUUGCAGACGAGCAUGAUAUGCUCGGGGACUGGUAAAUUCAAUUUUUUAGACCUUGCUACAAGGCUCAUACUUCGCCUUCCAGCAAGCUCGGGGACGCCAUCGGUACGAUGCAUCUAGCGAUGCAUCUCAGUCUCAAAACUACUUUGGGGAAUUUUCUUUUGACCCUGGCACCACGUGCCUACGUCACCUACUACCAGGCUCGGGGACUAAGUGGGCACACUUCACCUUGCGGUGAAUAUGCUUGCUAUUUUGAGGUCUAUACUUUUCAGAAAAGUAAAGUGGGCACACUUCACCAGAAAAGAAAUCUUUUUUAAUUAAGAGCACCAUGCAUUCUUCGAACAACCUGCUUCUUCGAUGUCAAUGUUGAUCAACUGUCUUUUGAGUUGGUCAAAAUACUGUUGCAACUGUUUGGGCGACUUUCCUGCUUAUUGAAGACGUCAAGCCUCACUAAUCGAAGAAGCUCAAGACGGCGUGUUACAUCACAAUACAUGGUGCUCGGGGACUAGCUGUGGGGGUAUAAACCCCUAUACCCUCGUGGGCCUACAUGGGCCGCACCGUCAGAGGUGGCUCGGCCCACAAGAUGAAGACGUGCGGCGCACGACUGGUCGGCGUGCACCGCAAGGCUACACGAUAUUGUACCAAAUAGGAUACUUUGCUUGUAACUCUGUCCCUUCAGGAUAUAUAAGGAGGGGCAGGGGUCCCCUAGAGGACAGAUCAUACAUUAUACGAUUCUCUCAACACAAAUCAAUACAACCAGACGCAGGACGUAGGUAUUACGCCAACUCGGCGGCCGAACCUGGAUAAAAAGCUUGUCCGAGUCUUGCGUCACCAUCGAGUUCGUAGUUUGCGCACCGUCUACCGAUAAACUACUACCGUGGGUAUACCCCAAGGUAGACUGCCGACCAGCUUUCGUCGACAACGCCACCGCACCGAUUUGAAGGAACAAGCUACGGAAUUUUACACAAGAACAAGUGCCUUGCAACCCUCACCGUGCCUUCAAACGUGCCAAUUGAUGUAAAAGAGCAGAAUUUGUGGUGCUCUCAGAGGUUCACGCUGCCGAACCAGGUUGUUGAUGUAGUCCCCCAGGUGAAGUGUGCUUGUAAAGAUUGUGACGGAUCUGAGAAAGGUGGUUUGUGGAGGUGGAUUUGGUGGAAGGCGUCGUCGGACUGGUUCACGGACCCGGUCAACCAAAGGAGGGACCUCUGGGUUCUCUGGUCGAACACCUUGUGGGUGUGACCCGAGAAGAGCCUGCCCACCGGAAUUACGAUCGCGAUCUACGCAAACUGACCCAACAGCAGCCCAGGCAUGGAUGGAAAGUGAAAGGGGUGGUAGAUCGUAGAGUAGUGGAGUUGGAAGAUGGGUGGAUGAGGCGGAUCCGUCACCUGAUACUUGUCGGCGUUGGUGUGCGACGAACUGGUAACUGGCGAUGAUGAAGAGCGGUAGAGCUCGACACCCACGCCGAGGAUAGAAGAAUCCGAUACCACUUGUAACACCCUUGGACCGCCGGCGAUCGCCGUCGGUGUGAGCGCACGCGUGGACACAGAUAUACGAGGAAGCGGGCGAGGUAAACCCCUCUGCCUUGGCUUCGAGUCUUUACUGAAUGAACGAUGGUCCUCUCCUUUACAAGUUCAGGCAUAUAUCUGCUGAUACAGACUCUGGCCAACUGGCCGUACUGGACAGUACAAGUAUGAAAGCAUAAACUAGCAAGUGCGUUUAACAAGUAAGGAAACGCCUGGGUUGUGGCACACCCUCUCAGUGGUCAGCUCCAGGUGUGACAAGGCGUCGGGGAGCCCGUGAUCUUAAUUUUGAUGUCUGUCAGAGCGAAGAUGAUUAAGCAGAGAAAGACGAGGAGGCCCAAGCACUUGACGCACAAGUAGCAGCCAAGUGCUGUUUCCCGCCCGUGGUCGUCGCCGGCGAACACUCCUGCACACAGGAGGAGGAUGGCGACCAAGAAGACGAGACCCAUGGAGAUGAAGGACCACUGAAGGAAGGGGAUGCAAGCCGUGGAGUCGCCUCGCUUGGCUAGUUUGCUGCCCAUGACGAGGCACCUGAUCAAGAAGCACCAAGAGAAACGGACGAAUCACUUCAAUAGUUUCGACCAUACACUACUACAGAACAGGGCCUUUCGUCACUUGCCUAAAAUAAACAAUAAUCUCGGCCCAAUCAGCGUCCGGGACAAAAAAACAUCUUUACUCCCGGUUGCUGAGACAAACCGGGACUAAAAGUCCUCUGCCCAACGGCUAUGGUGUCAGAGAUCGGUAGAAGGGACCUUUAGUCCCAGUUGGUAUCCGCAACCGGGAUUAAAGCCUAGCCUUUAGUCACACCAACCGGGAUUAAAAGGUGUUAUCCCGGUCCGUCUCACCGGCCGGGACUAAUGUUGGAGUUUAGUGUCAGUUGUUAAAUGGAACUGGGACUAAAUGUCCUUCUCCAUAUUUGAACUCUUCUUCUUCCCCUGGGCGAGCUCGAUCUUCACUCUUUUGCUGUGUUCUUUAUUUGCAGUUGCUUGUUCUUGCUCUCAUCUCCGGCUAUUGAUUGAUUUCAUCAUUUUUACGCCGUCAUCGACUCGUUAAGAGGUCACUAGCUUCAUCUUCUCAAUAUUUAGCAGCGGCAUAUGUCAUUUCCUAGUGUUAUGUAUGUUGUUUUUUAUUUUAUAAUUUUUUUAAGAGGUCACUAGCUUCAUCUUCUCAACAUCGACGCGUUUUUUUAGAGAAAUAGUGAUACUAUGUUUUUUAUUUUAAUUAGUUUAGAAAAAAAAUUAAAAACAUAUAAUACUUUAAUUUGCAAUUUGUGACCGAGUUAAUUAGUUAAUUAUAACUAGUAUGCAUACCAUAUUUCAUGAUUAUUUAGAAAAAUAGAGAAUUUUUGUGCUUUUUUAAUUUUGCUUGUUUAGAGAAAUUAGAAAUAGAGAAUUUUAGGUUUUUUUACUUUAAUUUAUCACACUAUAAAAGAGCGAGUUUUUUUAAGGAAUCUCUCUGCGUAAUAACCGUUCGAUCUAAACUUCAUGCUAUGUGAGCCCUCCGUCAUACGUGAUCUUACAUCUUAUAUGUAUAAGAUGUAAACGUUUAUAACUCAAUCUCUUGUCACACACGUACAAUCCUAAACAGACUCUACGAUCUCUCUAUCCCCGUGUUUGGACUCCAUAACCUCUCUAUCUCUAUGUAUUCAAUUUUAAAUACAUCAAUGCAUAUAUAAUGCUUGCUACUGUUUGAUAGAUUUUUGUUACAUUUAUUAAAUUUGCUUUGUGCACGUGUACAUAUUCGCGGGUAUCACCCGACAUGCCAACGAAAAGAAAUAAAAAGAAAACAUACGGAUGCUCAUCACGUGCAUGUAUGGGAAAGAAACAGGGCCAUAUCGAUAGCGGCCCUUGUAUGCAGUGCAUGUAUACGCAUGUAUAGAUAGGUUGUGUGGCAAGGCACGACUCGGCGAGCGGUCUGGUAGGCUUGGUCUUUGGUGUACAACACGGUUGGCAAACACGUGUGUUGGUCAUCAGGCAGCACAUGUCUAUCAGCCGUAAGUUGUUGAACCAAAUACGUACACGUAUUUUAGGUUACUUCGUAUUAUGCAAUGGGACUCCAUUUUGCUAGAUCCACAUGUUAUAAACUGCAUGGGAGAAGGGCCAUUUGAGUUCGAUUUUAGAUACAGCGAUCACCACAUACGGUGAUUAGUGUGAUGAUGGCAAGUAUGACUUUCUAUCCUUGAUCAGCGCCAUCUUUUUUUCCUUGGACUACUAAGUCGUGAAGACACGAUCAAUACUCUAUAAGCUUCCUUAAAGUAAAACCGUAGCGUUAGCACGGGUAUUAUACUAGUAAGCUUUAAAUCUAGCCUCGUGUAUUAGUAAUUAAAAGGAAAAUAAUAAAAAUCUGAACACACAUUAUUUUGUUUGUUAUAUAACAAAAAAGAAAGAAAAACUAACACGUGAGGAAGAUGCCGACUACCAAGCCUCUUCUAAUGGUGCUCUAGAUCCAAGAAUAAUAAAAUGAUCUUCCCUAGAUUCAUUUUUUCGAAUAAUUAGAAACUACAAAUUGAAUUCUUCCUUCAUUACUAGGCCAGACACAUUAGGUAGCCCAAUAGAGCAUAAGUCCUUCUACGCCUUGUAUUACUUAUAGUACCACAUUGUAAAUGAAUAGUAUCUGCAACAUGGAGGUAGAAAUAAGACAAAGCCACACAUUGAAUUAAAAUAGUUUUAACAAACACGUGCGUGUCGCACGUGCAUAUUUGCUAGUGUAUAAAAAAUUAGAAACUUAUAAUACUUUAAUUUGCAAUUUAUGACAAGGUUAAUUAGUUAAUUAUAACUAGUAUGCAUACCACAUUUCAUGAUUAGUUAGAAAAAUAGAGAACUUUUGUGUUUUUUUAAUUUUGCUUGUUUAGAAAAAUUAGAAAUAGAGAAUUUUAGGGUUUUUGUUACUUUAAUUUCUCUAUUAAAAAUUAGAAACUUAUAUUUCUUUAAUUUGCAAUUUAUGACAUGGUUAAUUAGUUAAUUAUAACUAGUAUGCACGCCACAUUUCAUGAUUAGUUAGAAAAAUAGAGAACUUUUAUGUCUUUUUAAUUUUGCUGGUUUAGAAAAAUUAUAAAUAGAGAAUUUUAGGUUAUUUGUUACUUUAAUUUUUGUAUAAAAAAUUAGAAACUUAUAAUACUUUACGUUGCAAUGCAGACAAUGACACGUCACUGGAUGUACAAUGCCGAUCGCUGCUCUAAAGAAUUCAUUGAUGGUGUGCAUUAUUUCUUAAGAGUGGCCGAGGAAAACAAGCGAGAUGGAUUCAUAUGUUGCCCAUGUGCCUUGUGUCAGAAUUUGAAGGAAUAUUCUAGCUCUAGAAAUAUUCACUCACAUUUGUUGAAGUCGGGUUUUAUACCAAACUAUAUUUGUUGGACCAAGCAUGGAGAAAAUAGGAUGAUGAUGGAAGAAGGUGAAGAAGAACAGUUGGAGCCUGACGACAUUAUUGCUCAAUACGGUGACUUCGGUGAUACAGCAAUGGGAGAAGCUGAAGAUAAGGCUGGUGCAGAAGGCACACCUGUUAAAGAUGAUGCUCUUGGUGAUGUCAUUCGUGAUGCACAGAAAGAUUGCAAAAGUGAAAAAGAAAAGAUAAAGUUUGACCAUAUGUUAGAAGAUCACAAGAAAUUACUAUACCCGUCUGCCCAGGAUGGGCAAAAAAAAUUGGGUACAACACUGGAGUUGUUAAAAUGGAAGGCACAGAAUGGUGUAUCCGAUAAGGCAUUUGGGCAAUUAGUGAAGAUCCAAAAAAGAUACUGUCGAAGCCUAAUGAACUGCCCACUACUACGUACGAAGCAAAACAUAUCGUCUGUCCUUUGGAAUUAGAAAUCAAGAAGAUACAUGCAUGUCCUAAUGACUACAUCCUAUACCGUGGCAAGGACUACGAGAAUUUAGAUGAAUGCCCCGUAUGUAAAGCAUCAUGGUAUAAGAUCAGGCGAGAUGACCCUGGCGAUCUUGAGGGGGAAGAACGUCCCAGAAAACAAUUCCUGCAAAGGUUACGUGGUAUGCUCCUAUAAUACGACGUCUGAAACGUCUUUUUAGAAAUAAGGACCGUACAAAAUUAUUGCGGUGACACAAAGUAGACAAUAUGUUGAGACACCCUGCUGAUGGAUCCCAGUGGAGAGCAAUAGAUAGAGAAUUUCAAAAGUUUGCAAAAGACGCGAGAAAGUUAAGGUUCGCUUUAAGUACGAACGAUAUGAAUCCUUUUGGUGAGCAGAGCAGUAGUCAUAGCACUUGGUCUGUUACACUAUGUAUCUACAACCUUCCUCCAUGGUUAUGCAUGAAGCAAAAGUUCAUUAUGAUGCCGGUGCUCAUCCAAGGCCCGAAGCAACCAGGCAACAUUGAUGUCUAUCUAAGGCCAUUAAUUGAAGAACUCCUUCUUUUAUGGAGUGAAACAGGUGUUCGUGUGUGGGAUGAGUACAAACAGGAACACUUCGACCUACGAGCACUGUUGUUUGUGACAAUCAAUGAUUGGCCUGCUCUAAGUAAUCUUUCAGGGCAGACAAACAAGGGAUAUAAUGCAUGCACACACUGUUUUGAUGACCUUGAUAGUAUAUAUUUGAAAAAAUGCAGAAAGAUCAUGUACCUUGGGUAUCAUCGAUUUCUUUCUAUGAAUCACCCAGUUAGAAAGAAAGGAAAGCAUUUUAAAGGUAAGGCAGACCACCGAUGCAAGCCUCGCAACAGAACUGGAGAAGAUGUAUUUGAGAUUGUCAAGGAUGUGAAAGUAGUUUUUGGUAAGGGACAAGGCAGCCAACCAGUUCCAAAAGAUGCAGCGGGUCAUGCACCCAUGUGGAAGAAGAAGUCAAUAUUUUGGGAGCUACCCUAUUGGCAAGACCUAGAGGUCCGGAAUGCGAUCGACGUCAUGCACCUAACAAAGAAUCUUUGUGUGAACCUUCUAAGAUUCAUGGGUGUGUAUGGGAAGCCUAAGGAUUCACUUGAAGCACGACAAGACUUACAACGCAUGGAAGAACGAGACAACCUGCAUCCAGAGAAGACAGAUGAUGGACGCCAAUAUUUAAGACUUGCUAGCUACACUCUUAGCAAUGAAGAGAAAGGAAUCAUGUUUGAAUGCUUAAGCAGCAUCAAGGUCCCAUCUGGAUUCUCCUCUAAUAUAAAAGGUAUAAUUAAUGUGCCCGAGAAGAAAUUUCUGAACUUAAAGUCACAUGACUACCAUGUGCUUAUGACGCAAUUGCUUCCAGUUGCAUUAAGAGGAAUUCUACCUCCACAUGUACGUCUGGCCACCGUAAAGCUAUGUGCAUUCCUCAAUGCAAUUUCUCAGAAGGCAAUCAAUCCACUGGAACUAGCUGCUCUACAGAAUGAUGUGGUUCAAUGUCUUGUUAGCUUUGAGUUAGUGUCCCCUCCAUCCUUCUUUGAUAUCAUGACACACCUCCUAGUUCAUUUGGUCAAGGAGAUCAAUAUUCUUGGUCCUGUGUUCCUACAUAAUAUGUUUCCCUUCGAGAGGUUUAUGGAAGUUCUCAAGAAAUAUGUUCACCAACGUGCUCGGCUAGAAGGAAGCAUCGCAGAGGGCUAUGGGACAGAGAAGGUCAUUGAGUUCUAUGUUGAAUUCAUUCCUGAACUUGACCCAAUUGGUGUUACUGAAUCGCGACACGAGGGGAGACUGAGUGGAAAGGGAACACUAGGAAAGAAAACAUACAUCGGUACGGGGGAUGAUUCUUUCAAUAAAGCACACUACAUAGUUCUUCAAAACUCAUCCGUGGUGGAGCCGUAUGUCACGAAACACAAGGACUUCCUACGAUCCCAAUUCCCAGAGAUGAAUGAAGCUUGAUUUAUGCGUCAGCAUAUGGACACUUUCAGUGAUUGGUUCGAAAAGAAUGUCAGGGUAAUGACCAGAUUGAUAAGCAACUAUAUUUGUUGGCUAGGCAACCAUCAUGGCACAUCCUCACGUACAAAAGGUACGAGAUAAAUGGAAAUACAUUUUACACCCUAGGCCAAGAUAAAAGAAGCACGAACCAAAAUAGUGGGGUUCGCGUAGACGCCAUAGACCCGAAUGGAAACAAACAAACAUAUUAUGGCCGUAUAGAGGAGAUCUAGGAACUAGACUAUGCACCUAAUUUUAAAGUCUCUUUGUUCUCGUGCCAAUGGGUGAAGGUUACCGGAGGCGGGGUGACAGUUGACAAUGACUAUGGAAUGACAACAGUGGACCUCAACAAUGUUGGUUACAAAGAUGAACCAUUCAUCCUUGCUGCUGAUGUGAAUCAGGUGUUCUAUGUGAAAGACAUGUCUACAAAAUAGAAGAGAAGGAAAAUGACAACAAAUCAACAAAUGAGCCAAAACGCCAUAUAGUUCUCUCAGGGAAAAGAAACAUUGUGGGAAUUGAGGACAAGUCAGAUAUUUCAGAAGAUUAUGAAAGGGAUGACCGAAUCAUGCCUUUCAAUGUGACCAAAGAUCCGAGCAUACUGAUAAAUGGUGAGGACACUCCAUGGUUACGUCAAGAUCAUGACCAAAGAACAUACGUCAAAAAGAAGAUCACUAUUGUGCCCGCCUAAUAAAUAGAUUGCAUUAGAGUAUGUGUAUGUGACAAUUGUAACUUAAGAUGUUUAUAUUAGUUUUUCUUAUUUUAUAUCAUUUCAAAUAAUGAAAUGUCAAUUGUGGAUUUUCAACUACACCUUCCCAACACUUUGUCAAAUGUAAAAAUGGUCAAACUUGGUCAAAUGACCCAUUUGAUGACUUGAAACGAAAAAAAUUUGAAUACAAAGUUGUUAGAGAUCAUCAAGAUCUACAUUUGAUAUAUUGUCCAUUUUCCAUUUGGAUAAAUUUGAGCCAAUCCUAAGCACAUUUGUUCAAAAAUCCAAGACGGGUUUUGGUCAAACUUGGUCAAAUGACAAACUAAAUUACUUAAAAUGAAAAAAUUUUGUAUACCAAGUUGUUAGAUAUCAUCAAGAUCGAAACUUUUUAUAUAGACAAUUUUUCCAUUUGAGAAAGUUUAAGUUCACAAUACUCACCAAAUCUUGAAUCUCACACAAACUAUAUGAAACUAUAUGUGUCAAUUGUGGAUUUUCAACUACACCUUCCCAACACUUUGUCAAAUGCAAAAAUGGUCUAUAUAUUAAAUGUAGAUUUUGAUGAGCGGAACAAUAUUGGUAUUCAUGAGUUUUCUAUUCGAGAACAUCUAGGGUUCCGAAAACCGAUGCGUGGCUAUGAAUUCUUUAAAAAUUCAAAAUUGAGUGGUUCAAACUUUUCCAAAAGAAAAGUUGACCAUUAGACCAAAUGUAGAACUUAAUGAGUGUAACAAACUUUGUGUUCAUGACUUUUCCAUUUGGGACCAUCUAGAUCUCGAUCAAAGUGUGUGUUUCUAAAAACCAAUGCUUUGACUUUGGUCAAACUUGGUCAAAUGACCCAUUUGAUGACUUGAAAUGAAAAAAAAUUGAAUACAAAGUUGUUAGAGAUCAUCAAAAUCUACAUUUGAUAUAUUGUCCAUUUUUCCAUUUGGAUAAAUUUGAGCCAAUCCUAAGCACAUUUGUUCAAAAUCCAAGACGGGUUUUGGUCAAACUUGGUCAAAUGUCAAACUAAAUUACUUAAAAUGAAAAAAUUUUGAAUACCAAGUUGUUAGAUAUCAUCAAGAUCUAAACUUUUUAUAUAGAAAAUUUUUCCAUUUGAGAAACUUUAAGUUCACAAUACCCACCAAAUCUUGAAUCUCACACAAACUAUAUGAAACUAUAUGUGUCAAUUGUGGAUUUUCAACUACACCUUCCCAAUGAAGCAAGAUUUUUACAGUCUAUGCUGGAAUUUUUAUGAGGGACUAGUAAAUCUGGAAUACAUCAAUAGUUCAUAUAUCACACUUGUUCCUAAGAAAGAAAUUCUAGAAACAGUGAAUGACUUUAGGCCUAUUGCACUAAUGAAUAUAUCACUCAAACUUCUCACCAAACUGCUGGCUAAUAGAUUACAAGUGGUGAUCUUGAAACUUGUGCACACGAAUCAAUAUGGUUUUAUUAGAAGUAGAACAAUUCAAGACUAUCUAGCAUGGAGCUAUGAAUAUAUACAUCAAUGCUAGCAAUCUAGAAGAGAAACAAUCAUCCUAAAACUUGAUUUUGAGAAAGCUUUUGAUAUGGUUGAGCACUCCACCAUAAUUCAAGUAAUGAGCCACCUUGGGAUGCCUGACAGAUGGAUCCAAUGGGUCAGCACGAUAUUGUCUUCAGUAUCAGAGCAGUCUUGCUCAAUGGAACUGCUAGGAAGUUUUUCAAAUGCAAAUGUGGGGUAAGGCAAGGAGACCCACUUUCACCUUUGCUUUUUGUGUUAGCAGCAGAGCUCUUGCAAAUCAUAAUCAACAGAGCCAUGAUUAUGGGACUGAUACAUAAACCUUUGCCUCAAGAUGGAGAGGAUUAUCUUAUUGUACAGUAUGCAGACGACACCCUGUUAUUCAUGCAGGCAGAUGCAAGACAGUUGGUAUUUCUCAAAGCAAUCCUGAAUAGUUUCUCUGAAUCCACCGGCCUUAAAAUCAAUCAAAAUCCCAUAUGUAUCUCAUCAACGUUUCAGCAAACAAGAUGAAUAUCCUUGCAGGCACUUUUGGGUGUGACAUAGGAUCCAUGCCUUUCACAUACCUGGGGUUGCCUAUGGGCACUACUAAGCCCAAGAUCGAUGAUUUCACACCCAUGAUGGACAGAGUUGAAAGAAGAUUGUCAGCUUGCUCAACUUGGCUCUCCUACAGUGGUAGACUAGAAAUGAUUAACUCAGCAAUCACUCCCAAAACCACUUAUGCCAUGUGCACACUCAAGUUGCCAAAAGGGGUGAUUGACAAUAUUGAUAGAGCAAGAAAGCAAUGCUUAUGGAGAGGAAACUCUGCAAAGAAAAAGGGAGGAAAUCUUGUUGCCUGGCCAACUGUUCACCUCCCAAAAGGAAAAGGAGGAAUGGGGAUUAUAAAUCUACAUCUACAAAAUGAUGCUCUAUUAAUGAAGCAGUUACAUAAGUUUUAUAACAAGGCAAGCAUUCCCUGGGUAAGAAUCAUAUGGGACAAGUACUACACUUCUAAAGUCCCCCAUGCCGCUAGAGAAAUGGGUUCCUUCUGGUGGAAAGACAUCCUAAGGCUAAAUACACUAUACAGAGGUAUUGCUAUGUGUGAAGUAGGAGAUGGAAGCAAUGUUUGUUUCUAGGAUGAUCUGUGGGCUAGUGAAGUACUAUCACAUACAUAUCCAAGGCUUGCAUCUUUUGUAAGAUCAUAUGGGGAAUCAGUCAAACAGACAAACCAAAGUGAUGAUUUAGACACAAUCUUUGUGCUGCCUCUGUCAGAAGAAGCCCUCGAUGAAUUAGAUCAACUCCAGGAAAGACUACAAGAGUUGGAAUAUGAUGGGGAUUCUAAAGACACAUGGGUUCCCAUUUGGGGCCACCAACACAGCUCCAGGAAAUUCUACUCAUAUGUAUACAGUGAUCUUGAAGCGUAUCCCAUCUACAGAAUUAUAUGGAAAUGCAGAUGUACCCAAAGACUAAAAUUUUUUGCAUGGCUCAUAGCUGUCGACAGACUAAAUACUAAGGACAUGCUACAGAGAAGACAUCUGCACAUACAAGGAACAUCAACCUGUGUAUUGUGCAAUUCAGGUCAAGUUGAAACCAUUGUGCAUCUGUUCUUUGAUAGUCAGUUUGCACAAGAUUGUUGGCAGAAGAUAGGUAUCAACUGGGAUCUGUCCAGGAACAUCAUGGACAGAUUACACCGAGCUAUAACCACCCACAAUAUACCGUGUUUUACUGAAGCAACAAUCAUCGCAGCAUGGGAGUUAUGGAAAUUGAGAAAUGACAAAGUCUUCCAACGAGGGGUCCCAACCGUACAACUGUGGUUUAUUAAUUUUAAAAGUCAAUGUCUUCUUCAAUCUUGUAGAUUCAAGGAAGCUUUGAAGACUUCCUUUUGUGUUUGGCUAGAUGCCUUUAGUUAAUUUUCAUGUAAGACUCUGCCUCCCCUUUUUUUUAAUGAAAAUUUGAAUACUGUGGGGACCUCCCCCACAGUUCUUUUGGUAAAAAAACACUUUGUCAAAUGCAAAAAUGGUCUAUAUAUUAAAUGUAGAUUUUGAUGAGUGGAACAAUAUUGGUAUUCAUGACUUUUCCAUUCGAGACCAUCUAGGGUUUCGAAAACCGAUGCGUGGCUAUGAAUUCUUUUAAAAUUCAAAAUUGAGUGGUUCAAACUUUUCCAAAAGAAAAGUUGACCAUUAGACCAAAUGUAGAACUUGAUGAGUGUAACAAACUUUGUAUUUAUGACUUUUCCAUUUGGGACCAUCUAGGUCUCGGUCAAAGUGUGUGUUUCUAAAAACCAAUGCUUUGACUUUGGUCAAACUUGGUCAAAUGACCCAUUUGAUGACUUGAAAUAAAAAAAAAUUGAAUACAAACUUGUUAGAGAUCAUCAAGAUCUACAUUUGAUAUAUUGUCCAUUUUUCCAUUUGGAUAAAUUUGAGCCAAUCCUAAGCACAUUUGUUCAAAAUCCAAGACGGGUUUUGGUCAAACUUGGUCAAAUGACAAACUAAAUUACUUAAAAUGAAAAAAUUUUGAAUACCAAGUUGUUAGAUAUCAUCAAGAUCUAAACUUUUUAUAUAGACAAUUUUUCCAUUUGAGAAAGUUUAAGUUCACAAUACCCACCAAAUCUUGAAUCUCACACAAACUAUAUGAAACUAUAUGUGUCAAUUGUGGAUUUUCAACUAACCUUCCCAACACUUUAUCAAAUGCAAAAAAUGGUCUAUAUAUUAAAUGUAGAUUUUGAUGAGUUAUGCAAUUAACAAAUUAAGCUAAUUAUUGUAAGCACAAAUAAAUAAUAAAUAGAAAAUAAUAAAAUUUGCAUUCUCUUAGUUAUGGUGAAUAUCACGAUUUUGGGGAUAAAUGGUGAUAAAUGAACAAAAUUUACGUUUAAAUAAUGCACAAACAAAUUUUCUAUCAAAAACACCUACUUUAAGAUAUUAAAAUUAAGUAAUACAUUUUUGCAUUAACAAAAUACUAAUUAUUUUUCAUAUUUAAGUUUGUUAUUAUAAGAGAUGGAAAGAUUUUAUGUAUCCAAAUUUAUUAUGUAAGCAAUUAGACAAAAAGAAAUGGUAUUAUUUUUUAAUAAAUUAAUACCUAUUAUUCUAUUUAAUCUGUAAUUAACAAAAUUAAUCUAAUUACUGUAAGCAUAAAUAAAUAAAAAACAGCAAAAAUACCUUUAGUCCCGGUUCUUAUCACCAACCGGGACUAAAGACCCUUUAGUCCCGGUUGGUGAUACGCACCGGGACUAAUGGUCCCGUGGGUAUUUAACCGAACAGUCGUCUUCCUCCUCUCGAUCCACCAGUUCAACGUUACCCUAAUUUUCCUCCGCUGCGCGCCGCUCCCCGCCGUCGCCUCGCGCCCUCGUCCCCGGCCGGCCGCCAUCGUCUAGAGCCCAGGGAGCGCCGCCGCCGCCGCCACCACCACCCAUCGUCCCCGGCCCGAGCCGAGGACCGUACGGAGCGCCGCUGCGCCAAGCUCUUCUUUCUCCGAUCGAGCUCGAUCUUCUUCUCCGGCACCGACGUCCCCACGCCGAGCUCUUCGUCUCCGGCCGAGCUCUUCUCCGGCACCGACGUUCCCGCGCCGAGCUCUUCUUUUCCGUACUCAAGAUUGUUCCUGAAAUUGUAUUUCGUUUCCUACAGAGGUAGUAUUAGUUCAAUAGCAUUGUUAGGAUAUGUAUAAGACUUUGAGUUGUAUACGACAUGGCUUCAUUGUAUGUAAUCUAGAAUAGACUUGUACGACAGGUAGAUACACGGGAUCUACUCGAUCUCUUAUCUGAUGUAAUUCCUUUCUUGAUGUACAAGCCACUAGGGGGCGUUUCCCUGACUAUAUAAACACGGAGCCGAGAUACCGAGAGGUUACCUCGUUCUAGUCUAUUUUACUUGGUAUUCAGAGCCCGACUCGUAAUGGAUCUGAUCCAUGGCCGCCUCUUCAUCCUCCGGUGUGUUUGCAUCCCAGCAGAUAGGGUUUAUACCCGUGAGCGAGAAACUUGCGAGGAACAACUACUCCAUGUGGCGCCUUCAAGUUAUGUCGGCGAUUCGCGGUGCUCAAGUCGACGAGUACAUCCUGCCGACUGCCAAGCCUCCAGAGAUGUUCCUGACGCCAUUGAAGCCAGACGGCACAACUGAUGAGAAGAAGCAGCCGGUUCCCAACCCGGCGUAUGCUACUUGGAUCUCCAAGGAGCAAACGGUGCUGAACUUUCUUCUGUCUUCUCUUUCAAAAGAGAUCUUCUCCCAGAUUACUGCAUCAGCAGAUUCAGCGGCAAAGGCGUGGGCCGCGAUUGAAGCACUCUUCGCUUCUCAGUCCAGGGCGCGUGUUAUUAGCACUCGCAUGGCCCUAACUACAGCAACAAAGGGGUCGUCUACGAUCUCUGAAUAUUUUACGAAGAUCAAGGCUCUUGCAGACGAGAUGGCGUCUGCAGGAAGGAAGUUGGAAGAUGAUGAGCUAGUCUCGUAUAUCCUGACUGGUCUCGACCUCGAUUAUGACCCGGUGGUGUCAGCCGUCGCUGCCAGGGUGGAACCAAUCUCUGUUGGGGAGCUUUUCACCCAACUGACCAGCUUUGAGUAGCGGAUGGAGCUGCGUGGCAACAACAACAAUCCCUCGGCGAAUAUGGCUGCCAAGGGUGGUCGCGGUGGCAACAACAGCAACAACUCUCGCGGCCGUGGUACUGGUGGCCAUGGGGGCUUUGUUCGUGGAGGCCGUGGACGUGGCGGUGGAGGUCGUGGAAGCGGCUUCCUCCAAGGAGUAUUUUGCCAGCUUUGCGGCAAGGAGGGGCACACUGCCGUCAAGUGCUUCAAGAGGUUCGACACCUCUUUCAGCGGUCCUCCACAGAAGAGUGCAUCUACAGCUACAACCUCGUCAUAUGGAGUGGAUACCAAUUGGUAUGUCUACUCUGGUGCUACUGACCACGUGACAAGUGAGCUUGAGAGGCUCACAGUUCGGGACAAAUAUGGAGGCCAUGAUCAAGUGCGUUCGGCAAGUGGUGCAGGUAUGGAGAUUGAUUAUAUAGGUUCUAGUAUUUUGCGUACCCCUACUAGUAAAAUCCAUCUAAACAGAAUCUUGCACGUUCCCAAAGCCACCAAAAAUCUUUUAUCUGUUCAUCGCCUUGCAUGUGAUAAUAAUGCCUUCCUAGAAUUUCAUCCAAAUUAUUUUUCUAUCAAGGAGCAGGGCACGAGGAAGACCCUUCUCAGAGGCAGAUGUGAAAGGGGUCUUUAUCCUUGGAAGCCGAGUUCAUGCAAGUCGAGUCAAAAUAAGCAAGUUCUUGGUACUAGUAUGAAACCGUCGAUCUCCUUGUGGUAUCACAGAUUAGGUCAUGCUUCAACUCCUAUAGUGAAGCAAGUUUUAAGUCGUCAUGGUCUUCCCUUUGUUAGUGACGAGUCAAAUAAAAAUAUGGUGUGUGAUGCGUGUCAACAGGGUAAAAGCCAUCAGCUACCCUAUCCCAAGUCAACUAGUGUAUCAACUAGUCCUUUGGAUCUUAUAUUCUCUGAUGUAUGGGGCCCUGCUCCUUCCUCUGUUGGACGCAAAACUUAUUAUGUGAGUUUUAUUGAUGAUCAUAGCAAAUUCACUUGGGUUUAUUUUCUUCGGCAUAAAUCUGAAGUGUUCCAAUGUUUCCAUGAUUUCCAACAGCUUGUAGAAAGACAAUUCAAUAGAAAAAUUCUAGCUGUGCAAACUGAUUGGGGUGGUGAAUACCAAUCACUCAAUUCCUUUUUCAAACGUGUUGGUAUAUCUCAUCAUGUCUCAUGUCCACAUGCCCAUCAACAAAACGGUUCUGCGGAACGCAAGCAUCGCCAUAUUGUUGAAGUUGGUCUUUCUCUUCUUGCACAUGCCUCAAUGCCUUUAAAAUUUUGGGAUGAAGCCUUUGCCACUGCUGUUUUUUUAUCAACCGGCUCCCAUCUAGAGUAAUUCAAGGUUAAACACCUUUUGAGCGUCUCUUUACAAAUCCUCUAGAUUACUCUUUCCUAAGAACUUUUGGAUGUGCUUGUUGGCCGAAUCUUAGACCAUAUAACACACGCAAACUCCAGUUUCGAUCUAUACAGUGUGUUUUUCUUGGGUAUAGUGAUAUGCAUAAAGGGUUCAAGUGCUUGGAACCAUCCACCGGCCGAGUCUAUGUCUCUAGGGAUGUAGUAUUUGAUGAGCAUGUCUUUCCUUUUGCACGGCUUCAUCCAAAUGCUGGAGCACUUCUACGAGCUGAAUUGUCUGUUCUUCCUGAUGCUUUGCUUCCAUCUACUAGUUUUGGGGACGCAAAAUUCCUUGGUCAAUGUAAUACAAAAACUCCGUCUACUAAUGAAACACCGAGCCACGGUGCUGUGUUUGAUGAUACAGGAAAUUCCAACACAUCGUCAGGAGAAAAUUCGGGCUCAAACGAUGCAACCUUGAGCCUGAAUGAUCGUCAUUUUAUGACUGCACCUUCGGGGGAGACAGCCGGCGCGAGUCUUGAGGAUGAUCCGAUCCCUGGCGGCGCGACAACAUCCGGAUCGGGAUCCACGCCUGACUCACCUGCCUCCUCGUCCGUGCGCAGGGGUGGUCCGACUGCCUCCAACGCGGGAUCUUCUGUGUCGGCAAGUACUGCUGCACCAACGGCCACACCGGCGCCUCAACCACAGGCCGAUCCGCCCGCUGGGGAGCAAGCAGGGCCCUCCGCUACUGUCGAGAUUGCGCCCGGAUCGUCUGCGGUGAAUGUUCCUGCAGCACCUGCUCCAGCUCAGCGACCUACUACACGAUCUCAGCAUGGCAUUCAUAAGCCAAAGAUUUAUACCGAUGGCACGGUGCGCUGGGGCAUGUCCAUGGAAGCAGUGGGUAGUGAACCGACGUCUGUUAAUGAAGCUCUACAAGAUUCACGAUGGAUCAAUGCAAUGAAUAGUGAGUAUCAAGCACUGCUCAAAAACAAGACAUGGCAUCUUGUUCCUCAUCCAAAGGGUAAGAAUAUCAUUGAUUGCAAGUGGGUAUAUAAGAUCAAAAGAAGAGCAGAUGGUACAGUUGACAGAUACAAAGCUCGUCUUGUGGCAAAAGGUUUUAAGCAACGUUAUGGAAUAGACUAUGAAGAUACAUUUAGUCCCAUUGUUAAAGCUGCUACUAUUCGACUUGUUCUCUCCAUUGCCGUCUCUAGAGGAUGGUCUCUUAGACAGCUAGAUGUACAAAAUGCAUUCCUUCAUGGCAUAUUGGAAGAGGAAGUAUAUAUGCGGCAACCUCCUGGAUAUAUUGAUAAGGCCAAGCCAACCUUUGUAUGCAAACUUGAUAAAGCUCUCUAUGGUCUCAAGCAAGCUCCAAGGGCAUGGCAUUCUAGGUUAAGUGGCAAGCUCCAAGCUCUCGGGUUCAAACCUUCAAGGGCAGAUACAUCCCUGUUCUAUUACAGUAGAGGUAAACAUGCAAUGUUUGUUCUUGUGUAUGUUGAUGAUAUUAUUGUAGCAAGCUCAUCACAAGAAGCCACUAAUGCCUUGCUAAAAGACUUGGAGAAGGAUUUUGCAUCGAAAGAUCUUGGCGAUUUACACUAUUUUCUUGGGAUUGAAGUUAAAAGAAAUAGUGAUGGGCUAGUGUUGUCACAAGAGAAGUAUGCAUGAGAUGUCAUCAAGAGGACAAAUAUGGGAAAUUGUAAGUCAGUCAAUACACCAUUGCCGAGUGUUGAGAAGAUCAGUGCAACCGAAGGGGAUCCACUUGGGCCAGAGGAUUCUACCAAUUAUCGAAGUGUUGUAGGAGCACUGCAGUAUCUCACUCUAACUCGGCCCGGUAUAUCCUUUGCGGUGAAUAGAGCAUGCCAAUUUCUGCACCAACCCACAACAACUCAUUGGAGCUUGGUAAAGAGGAUUCUUCGAUAUGUUCAAGGAACAAUAAAGCUUGGACUCGGUAUCAACAAGUCCAAGUCGAUGCUAGUAAGCGCGUACUCCGAUGCCGAUUGGGCUGGAUCAGUGGAUGAUAGACGGUCUACCGGUGGGUUUGCUGUUUUCCUUGGUGAUAAUUUGAUAUCAUGGAGUGCAAGGAAACAAGCUACUGUUUCAAGGUCAAGUACAAAAGCUGAGUAUAAGGCAUUAGCAGAUGCUACUGCUAAGAUGAUGUGGGUUCAAAAAUUGUUAACCGAAUUAAAGGUUCAACAUCCUCCUGCUGCGAGACUCUGGUGUGAUAAUAUUGGUGCCACCUAUAUGACAGCAAAUCCUGUGUUUCAUGCAAGGACAAAGCAUAUUGAGAUUGAUUUUCAUUUUGUGCGAGAAAGGGUGGCACAACGAUUGUUGGAGGUACGACAUGUAAGUACUCAUGAUCAAUUGGCAGAUGGGUUCACAAAGUCUUUAUCUCUCUCUAAAUUGGUUGAUUUCAGAAACAAUCUAAACCUUGUACCCGGUUAAGAUUGAGAGGGAGUGUUAAGAUAUGUAUAAGACUUUGAGUUGUAUACGACAUGGCUUCGUUGUAUGUAAUCUAGAAUAGACUUGUACGACAGGUAGAUACACGGGAUCUACUCGAUCUCUUAUCUGAUGUAAUUACUUUCUUGAUGUACAAGCCACCAGGGGGCGUUUCCCUGACUAUAUAAACACGGAGCCGAGGUACCGAGAGGUUACCUCGUUCUAGUCUAUUUUACAAGCAUAUGUCGAAGCAAUUGAGUAUUUGUUCAAUGGCAUGUCGAAGCAAUUGAGUAUUUCUCCAAAAUAUUGAGUAUUUGUGGACAGUGUUUACUUGCAAAAAAUUAUGCAAAAUGUGGACAGUGUGAUUAGUUAUUUUUACCUAUACACAAAUUGUUUGUUUUUUCUAUACUCAAAAUGUGAAUAGUGUGAACAGUAUGGCAUGUUUAUUUUUUUCGUCUCGCGAAUUACAUAUAUACAAACUGUGUAAUUAGUUACUUUUUACCUAUAUUUAAUACUUUAUGCAUGUGCCGUAAGAUUCGAUUUGAUAGAGAAUUUGAAAUAUUUUCCAAAUUAUUUGGGGAAGUAAACAAGGCCUUAGUCCCAAUUUAAAGGCACAGUCGUAGCACUUUCGUUUGUUUGAUAAAUAUUGUUAAGCUAAGUUACAAAUUGUUAUGAUAAAGGCACAAUUUCAUUUUUUACCUUUUGUUAUGUCAAAUUACUUCAUUCACGAAAAAAAUGCAAUUUGCUUUUUAGAAAUCAAAUAAUUUUAAAAUUGUUUAUGACAUUUCUAUAAAAGAUAUAAGUAUUAUUAGAUUAAUUAAAGAUAUAUUUUUUGUUACUUUAAUAUAGAUUAAUUAAUGAUAUAUUUUUUUGUUACUUUGAAAGAUAUAAGUAUUAUUAGAUUAAUUAAAGAAGCAUACCCUCUGCCCCCACAACCAAAUAUGAUGAUUCCACCGGACCUUAACUCCUCAAAUCUUGAGACUACCUUAUAGCAGUCAACACAAAAAUAAAACCCACAAGACCUCGCUACAUCUACCCUUGGACCCCAAAUCUAGCUCUUGGUCACCUCAGAGGACCAAGCACUUGGGGGCCUCGCCACAUCCACCACUCGCCAUGUCAUGGAUAUGCUUCUUGUAUUGCCAUUUGUUAUGGGUAGGCUACAGAGAAUUAGAAUUUAUUCCAUUACUUUAAUUUAAAUAAAAAUUAGAAUUUAUUCUAUUACUUUAAUUUAAAUAAAAAUUGGAAUUUAUUUCAUUACUUUAAUAUAGAUAGCACAAGUUACUUUAAUUUAUGUUGAUCGCGUCAAAUACUUUUGCGUUGGACAUAUUAAGUACGGGAUUUGAUAAAUAACUUUUAACACUUGACUAAAUUUGCAGAAAUGGCCAAUUCGAAUGACAACAUGGAUGAUGCAAUCAUGGACCUAAUCAACAGCGACGCCAAUCCAGUUCCCCAAGGUGAAGAUGAUGGGAGUCAGUACUUUGCUGAUUAUGAAGAACUUGUGGGAGACAAUCCUGAUGAUGUCUAUCUACAAUCUAAUAUAUAUGUAUAUAUAUGAAAUUAAAAUAAAUGGCAUUUGUACUAAUAUAUUUAUACUUCUUUGUGUAGCCCUCUAGAUCGGCAACAACUUCUGAGAAGAGUAGAAAAGUGCGCGGCCCGAAGAAGCCGUUGGAGGGUCGGUACAUUCUCUCACAAUUCGAUGAGGGUACAGGACAAGUACUUGGAGCCAAUUCUAAAAAAUUUGUUGCGCACUGUGGCUACCUUGUAAGGGAUAGGCUCUCGGUCAGUGCUUGUGAAUGGAGACAACAGAAAGAUAACCCUAAUAUUAGUUUUGUCUCAGAUCAUGACAAGGAAUUGAUUUGGCUAGAUAUUCUUCAACAUUUCACGCUCAAUACAUAGAAUGAAGCUUUGAAGGAGAAGGUUAAAAUCUAGGCUAUGCAGAAGAUGAACAAACAAUUUCACGCUUAGAAGAAGACAUUAUACAAGACUUUUGUUGCACAUGGCCAGACACCAGAUUUCACCAACAAGGCCUACGUCAAGUUGAGGCCUUUUUGGGAUAAGUUUGUAGAGUUUAAGAACUCAAAAGAGGGUCAGGCACGGAUGAUCAAGAAUCAGGAAAAUGCUAAACAAAAGCAAUACCACCGUCACUUGGGUUCAGGUGGCUACAGGACUGCUAUUCCUAAGUAGCAAAAGCUAGAACAGGAGAUUCUUGAGAGAGGGAUCGAACCAGAAUCACUGCACUGGCCUGAGCGCGCCAAGUAUUGGUUCUUCGGUCACGGGGAAACCAUAGACCUAGAGAUCGGAAAGAUAGUGUACGGCGAAAAGCUUGAAAGAGUGGGACAGAGAAUGGCCUAUGCGAGAGGAUUAGUUGAAAGUGGUACCUGGUAGCCAAAUAGAGAGAAGGAUGAGCUGACAUACGCCCUAAAGACUGCUGAACACGGUGGGUGAACAAGAGGCUCUUUGGAGGUAUCGUGGGAGCAUGGCUUCCCUAAAGAUAGACUGACUUAUAGAAGCCGCCAAAGAAAGAAGGAAGAGGAAGCAGAGCGGUUGCGUAGGUUGGAGGCAAUGGUGAUGGAGUCACGCGAAGCGGCUCAUGAAGCGAUAGCGCGAGAGAAAGCGCUUGAAGAGAGAAUGAACGAGGAGAUUAAAAGACAAGUGCAGAUGGCAGUAAGUUCUAUACAAAGGCAAACUACAUCAGAGCAUGGAGUCAACAUUAGCCCCCCCGAUCAGUUGAAAAGCAGUUGCGCUUCCACGGAGAUGCCAACUAUUCAAGAUGACGUCGGGCUGCACUUUUCGGUGGAUGACAUCACUGAACCUCUGACAACAUGUGAGCUGCACAUUCCAUAGGGGACUACCACAGUCAUGGUUGCUGUCGGUGUUGUAACUCCUGUCGACCCUACGAAGACACCAAGAAUCCAUGGGGCGAUAGUUCUACCUGGAUAUGCUAGUGUCUCGGUGGAUAGAGUUGUCAAAGGCUUCAGUAAUGUGCAGCUUGAGAUAGAAGGAGGUGAUGGAGAGAAGACUCUAGGAGAAGCAGAGAAGAAUUUUAUUUGUUGGCGCAAGUGCUACAUCAUUAUUCCUGGGGCAUCACCUAGUAGUCUACCAUCACCUCCUCAUCAUGAACCUAAUCCUAGGUGCGGAUGAAAAUUGACUAUACAUUUGUUUACUAACUUUAUUUUGCAUUCUCUUAGUUAGCAGUUUACUCAUAUACCUUUUUGGUUUCACAGGUGGUCACCAACAUAUCAUAGUGCUGCGGGUGAUGAAGAGGGAGUGCAAGACACGGCUGCAUCACCUCGGUCUCCAACGCCACCACCUCGGGCUCCAACGCUACCACCUCGGGCUCCAACACCGCCACCUAGGGCUCCAACGCCACUGUUGGGUAUUCUUAACAUCAUUACCAAAAGUAGACUAAGUUCUCUAAAUCUAGUAACGGUGCCAAAAAUUGCCAAACCUAUCCCUCACACCACUUAAGCCAAGUUGUCAUCCCCAGCAUGAUAUAAGAGAUGCGGUAUUGAAAUAUGCAAUUGCUCUUCUAAAUAAAUAAUGAAUGGGAUCUGUAAGCGCACAGAUUAAUACCGAUAUAGCAUUUUAACCGGGAAGUAUUCCAGGUAUUGUUAUUUAUAUUUUUACCACUGGGAAGGGAUUAGUAACCAUCAAUAUGAUCAUAGAAUAGAAUAUGAGAUUGAGUAUCUAUCAUUGCAUAUAUAAUUGAGAACAUUUAUCUAACUCUUUCAUACAUGGAUAAGUGUCACAUAAAGGAUAUAUAAAGUAAUGAAUAGUGACAAAGAUAAUUAAUCUAAUCAGCAUAACUAGCCACAUAUAAAUAUGAUAAGCACCUCAAUUAGAUACUCUAGAAAGUCAUUAGCAUGGUAUUAGAACGAACUACAAGAAUAUUCUCUAAGUUAUUCUCAACUAUAUAGUCUAGCAUUAUCAUAAUUAGUGCAAGCAUACUUAGCAAUCAUUGUGAGACAAGACUACGCCCAUGCAUAGUGAUAUUAGCAAGGUAAAUGAGAAACAUAGCAAUCACUCCCCUGUAAUAAUAUUGCUCUGCCAGCCCAAUACACGAGAGGGGGACUAUAUAAGAAUCAAUGAAGCUGUCACUAUCACGAACUACCCCACGAUCUGGCAUAUUGGGUACAAUCGCAGAUAAAUACGGUAUAAGCACCACGCCUACACAAUAUCUAUCAUUUACCCAUGGAUCCGAUGGAUAAACGCUAUACGAUCCUAAGCAUGUAUAUAGAUCCAAUCUAACUAAGCCAAGUACAUAACUAUGAUAAACUAAGAACAAUAUAAUCUUGAACAUAAGCAAGUAGAGCAAAGUCAUAAGCAAUAUAUUGAAGUAGAACAAAGUCAUCUCAUAAUAUUGAAGAACAAAGAUAAUUAGAAAGCAAUUAGAAGCACAAUUAGAGAAUUACCAAGAAUCCUCCUGACAGAUCCGGAAACCAUUUCGAAGAUUGACUCCUUCUAGUUCUAAUCCUAUGUAGCUAUGCUAAUCUAGAUAUCUAAUUGAUGUGGUGGCUCUAAUCUUGAUCAGAGGCUUCUUCUCCCUUGAGGAACAAUGAAUUAGGGUUGAGAGGCUCUCUCCUCCAGGGGCCAGGGGGUCUGGUUUUAUAGUCCCUUCAAGUGAAUAUGGGCCGUUGGAUCAAACCGACUUAGAUUGAACGGUUAUCCUUAAUCCUUUAGGUCGGUGGAGAUCUCCCACGAAGCAGAGUCCUGAUUGGACUCCCAGAGGGGGCGGGCGCCCAGGGCAGGAGGGCGGGCGCCCUGCCUCUGGCCCCGUUUCGCCUCCGCUUCGGUCUCGUGACUUCCGGAGUCUUCUAGAUGUAAGAUAAUUGCGCGGCACGUUAAUAUCUCUAUGUAAUCUCGACGUGUGGGCCUUUCUUCCGUAUUUCCUGAUAACCCCCUGCAGAAAUGGACAAACACCAAAACUCGUGGAAUUCUGUCAGAUAAAACCCUAAGUCUAGAUAUUGAUUUCAUUUGGAUCCUUUUCUUUAUUUAUUUGAUAAUUAAAUUUGAUACUUAAGGACCGUCAACAGCCACCACCUAGGGCUCCAACACCGCCACCUCGGGCUCCAACACCGCCACCUAGGGCUCCAAUGCCACCACCUAGGGCUCCAACGCCGCCGCCUCGGGCUCCAACACCGCCACCGGCCGCCCCAUUGGCUCCACACGUGCACUAGUACAUGGGCACACUAUACAGGCGGUUGGUAACAUAUUUCUACAGGCGUUUUCCAGAUCCGCCUGCGCUGGAGGCCAGUAGAAAUUGUCUAUUUCCAGAGGCGGUUGCUUGAGAGCCGCCAGUAGAAACCAUUUACACAUGCGGCUCUCUUAGGGAACCGCCUGUGUAAAUGUUCAUUUACACAGGCGGUUCAUUUACACAGGCGGUUCCCUAAGAGAGCCGCCUGUGUAAACCUAUUAAAAUAUGUAUUAUUUAUUUAUUUAUUAAUUUAUCUAUUUAUUUAUUUAUUAUUUUAUUGUUAUUAUUUAAAUAUAUUGAUAUUGGUUGGUCUUCUAACAUAGCAACAUGUAAUUUAAAUACUUCAUCUCAUACAUACAUUUGUAUACAUCAAAGUUUGGUGCUCAAAGACAUAAAGUUAAUUACAAGAGUAUACCCUUCAUCACACAUCAUAUAUAUAUACAUCAAAGUCUGUUUCUGUCCUCUAAUAACCCUCUUUAGUAAGUUUGAGCUUACUAAUCUCUGUUAGCACUCGGAACUGUGGCUUGGAUAAUUGGCUUUCAUCAUCAUGAUAUUUGCCUUCACGUGGAAUGACAUGCUUCAUGAUGAACGAGCAGAUGUCCUCAACUAUGUUGUCUAAAGCACGUUCGUCCAUGCGCUCGCCGUCCCUUGCUUAUAUACCUGCAAAGAAAGUUUAUAAACAUUAUAUAUUUUAUGACUUCCAACUUUAAUAGACUAUUACUUAUAUUAUCUUAUCAGGGUUCCUUGCAUAUCGUCCGUUUUCUCUCAUGUUCUCGCACACGUAGUAGCCACAGAGGACAGAUAACGGUGGUUGCUUCAUGCACUGUAUAAUAGGAGAGUGGUUAUUUAAUUAUAGUUGCAACUGUGGUCGUAUGUGUAUGAUUUAUAUUCAUAAUAGUAAAUUUUUAUACGUACCGGCCAGUUAUGUAUAAAAUAAUUUACAAAGAGAUUAUAACAAAAAGAUAAAAUUAAAUUUACAUAUACACACUAAUACAUAUGCAACGGGAAAUAAUAACAAGUAUUUAUUAAAAUAAUAACUAUGAAUAAAAUCACAUGUAAAAGACAUAAUAAUAUUCCCUGAUUUUAUUUUUAUUUUUUCUGAUUUUUAUAAUUUUCUGCUGUUUUUUACGGUUUUAUUCAAUUUUUUCAUAAAAAAAUGUUAAAGUAAAAAAAAAUUCCAGCCCAACAGACCCAGCAGGCCGUCACUCCCUCUCCCUUCUCUCCCUCUCUCUGGCAGGUGGGCCCCACCUGUCGGGGUCAUCCCCUACCUCCAGCCAUCGCAGCCACCGCACCGCUCCUUCCACCACCGCACACCCCGCACCAGCCCCAUCCUCUUCCACCAUCGCCACCGCGGCCAUCCCUUCCCCUUCCACCACCACCACCACCACCGCGGCCGCCCCCCUUCCCCGUCCGGGCAGCGCCACCAUCGCGCCCCCACCACCACCGCCGCCACGUCGAGGAUGCGCAGGGAGAGAGAGAGAGAGAGAGAGAGAGAGAGAGAGAGAGAGAGAGAGCAGGAGAGGCUCUCACCGCGGGGCGGCGUCGGCAUCGAGGGCGGAGGAGACGGUCACUGCGCGACGGCGUCCAGGACAGCAACAACGGCGGCGAUGGCAGCGAUGGCGGUGGAAAAUUUCGGCAGCGUGUCGGCUUAGUUUGAAUGAACAGGGCGCCAGACUUAGAAAAUUUUCGGGCGGAGAAGACCUAGGGUUAUAUAGGCGGGCAUUAGUACAGGCGGUUGGCUUAGUCAACCGCCUGUAGAAAUGGUUUCUACAGGCGGUUGACUAAGCCAACCGCCUGUACAAAUGGUAUUUAAAGUUUUCCUUAUAUAUAUUUUUAGAAAUUAUUUAAAUGAUUCAAAAAAUCAUAUCUUCAAAAAUAUUUGUCCUAAAUUAGUGAAAAUUUUUUUGUUGUGUUCCUCUUGACCAGAGACCCAUGUUAAAAAUAUGAAAUUUCAUGUUUGAGGUACUUUUGUAUGCAUCUUUAUUUAAAAUGAUUUAAAUUGAAUAUGUGCCUCAUAUCUUGUUUAAUACAUAAAUAAUUCUAGGAAUACCAAAAAAAUGUAAAUCCAAUUUAGUUAGCUUUAUUGUAGUGUGUAAAUGCUAUGAAAAAUAUAUUCCUUUGUGCAAUUUAUCGUUGACAAUAUAAAUAUGAGGAACCCAUAUGUUUGAGCAUAGUUUGGUGGAAUGACUCUUAUACGUUUGUGAAGCAUGUAUGUUAUGCCUAUCUCCAAAUGUCUUGAAAUUUUUUUGGCAAGCUUCUACACUCAAAUGAUAACCCCACACAAGAUCUUAGGAUUUUCUGAUCAUGCAAGCUAUUGUUACAUUUUUCUUUGUGCUAAAUGAGAUGAAAAAUGGUGCACUACACCUAGAUCCCACUAGGUUUUUCCACCAACCACAAGGAAGUUUUAUUUCCUAUGGUAUAUAAGCCCCUGUGGAGAAGUUUGGCACCAUUUGGAGUCAUUUCAGGGGUAGACUUAGUUCAAGCGCUAAUUAGUGGGUGAUGUCGCACGGAAAUUCAAUUAAACCGGAUAAAGUAACAAACCACAUCAGAAAAAUCCCAAACUUGGUGGAUUGAACACCAAUGACACUAGUAACCCUUAGUAAAAGUUUGAGACCAAUACGACAUCAAUGGCACUAGUAACCCUUGCAUGUAGAAAUAGAAAAGGGCACAUAGCAUAAGGUACACAUUUUAUCAUAAAUAGAUUACAUGGCAAAUGACAAAUAAAAUCUAGGCAGCUACUGUUCUUCCUUGUCCAUCGUGACGCACCCAGGGCAACGAGCUCUGUGGAAUGCUUCGCUCAACAUUCCUUAUCUUUACUGGAUGGUCGUCUACAAAGAGAGACAUGUCACUGAACUGGUUAAAUUCAUCCAAGUCAGAUACACCAUCAACUCCGAUGGCUUGUUGCUUUCCAGGGAAAACUAUGUGCUUUGGAUGGUCCGUAAUUUUCUUCUUAUCAUUAGGAGAGUGGACCUGCUCAGCAUAGAAGACCUGUGCAGCACGGUUAGCCAUUAUCCAUGGAUCAUCUUUGUAGCCUACCUUGCUUAGAUCUAGAACUCUAAUCCCAUAGUUGUCCACUGUGACAUGUUUGUCUUCAACCCAUUGACACCGAAAUAUAGGGAUAUGAAAUGUACCAUAGUCUAGUUCCCAUACGUCCUCAACGAAGCCAAAGUAAGUUGUUUCCUCACCAGUUUUAGAGUAUAAGGCGUCGCAUCGAACACCACUAUUUUGUGUCAUGCUCUUUUGGUCUUUGGACUUGGUACAGAAUGUGAAGCCACUAAUGUCAUAGGUUUGCCAAGUCGUGACCUGGCGUGAUGGCACAGAUGCCAAGACCUUGAUGGUGCGAUCCUCGAGUGUUUCCCCAUCUGGAAUGUCCUGCUCCCUUAGCCAUGAGGUGAACUGAUUCUUAUGUUCCUUCAUUAUCCAUUCAUCUGUGUGCCCAUGAUUAUGUUUUUGAAGCUCUUCAAUGUGUAGAUUGAUCAAAGGCUCCAUUAUCGAGAGCCGAUGCAGGACGCUGUGAUGUGCUUCGAGGACUGAAUUGUAAUCUUUUGGGACGUAUGAUUUCUUUCCCAUCCUACCUCUUCCAUUCAGCUUACCCUCGUGUCGUGACAGAGGCAAACCUAUUGCAACCUAGUCUUUUAGGACCCUAUUGCAGAAUGGACCUCCGGACUCAAUGGCCUCUUUGGUUAAGUACCCCUCUACCAUAGACGCCUCUGGACGAGCACGAGUUGAUACAUAGCCAUUUAGUAUUGACAUGAAGCGUUCAUACGUCCACAUCUCAUGCAAAUACAUGGGACCCAAUGCCUCUAUUUGUGAAACCAAGUGCACCACAAGGUGAACCAUCACAUCGAAGAAUGCUAGGGGGAAACACAUCUCAAACUGUGAAACUGUCUCCACUGUGAAUUCCUUAAGAGACACCAACUCAUCACGUUCAAUCACCUUCUCUGAGAUCCUGUUGAAGAAGUAGCACAACUGUGUAACUGCAACCUUUAUCCACACUGGGUUUAUAGCCCUAAUGGCAAUAGGGAGAAAAGUAGUCAAUAUGACAUGACAAUCAUGUGAGUUGUAGUUGGUGAGUGUAAGGUCUUUCAUUGACACAAUACUCCGUAUGCUAGAGCAGAAUCCAGAUGGGACUUUCAAUUUCUUCAACCACACACACAUCUCAUGUUUCUCUUCAUUGUUGAGGUUGUAGCUUGCUGCCGGGAGGUGUUACUUCCCAUUUUCUAGCCUAACAGGGUAAAGUUCUUUUUUAUGCCUAACUGUACCAUGUCCAAGCGUGAAUUUAAUCCUUCCUUUGUCUUGCCCUUCAUGUCCAACAAGGUGCCAAUUACGCUUUCAAACACGUUCUUCUGAACGUGCAUACCAUCGAUCGCGUGGCGGACGUCUAACUCUGGCGAAUAUUCCAAAUACUCGAAGAAAAUUGACUUCUUCUUGAAUGUAGCCCCUGGAGCUGGCUUGACAUUCUUUCUUGGUUUUCCAUCUUUUGUCUUCUUCCCAAAAACAAAUUUGAGUUUGCUGACUAUGCUGAAAACUCUUUGGCCUUUACUGUUACUUGAUAGAGCAGUAGUCUGUAGUUCACUAUUAUUGUCAAAGUACUUAUCCAUCUUUUUCAGCCGGUACCUGUGUCCUUUUGAUAAGAAGCGUCUGUGCCUCAUGUACACUAUCUUCUUAGAUGCAGUUAGGGACACGUAAGCGGUGUCAUCUAUGCAUACCACACAACCUAACUUUCCCUUGAACUGCCCUGAUAAUGUAAAGAGAGCUGGGUAGUCAUUGAUCGUAACAAAGAUAAUUGCUCUCAGUGUGAAUGAUUCUUUGCGGUACUCGUCGAAUAUUUGAACACCUGUUUUCCAUAGUAUCUUCAUGUCCUGCAUUAAGGGCUCCAAGAAAACAUCCAUAUCAACUCCAGGUUGUGUAGGUCCAGAGAUAAAGAUGGUUAGUAAAAGGUACUUUCGCUUCUGCAUCAACCAUAGAGGGAGGUUGUAGAUGGUGAGGAUCACCGGCCAUGUGCUGUGCUUGCUGCUCCUCUCAGCAAUUGGAUUCAUUCCGUCAGUACUCAGUGCGAACCUAACAUUCCUUGGUUCAUUAGCAAAGUCCUUGUGGUUUUCAUUGAAAUCUUUCCACUGCUGGCCAUCGGCUGGGUGCCGAAGCUUCCCAUCGUCUUUGUGCUCAUCAGAAGCAUGCCAGCUCAUAAGUUGGGCAUCCUCUGGGUUAGCAAACAAGCACCUCAAUCGAUCGAUCAUAGGAAGGUACCACAUCACCAAAGUAGGAAUCUUUUUCUGUGCAUAAUAGUCUACUUCUUCCUUUUCUUUGCCGGUGGGUUUUGAACUACUCUUCUGGGUCUUUUGUUGGGCCUUCUUUCGUUUUUUGCCCUUAGGCACAGAGGCAACACACUCUUCCUCUAUGUAGUCUUUAUUUGUCUUGUACCUACUUGCACCACACUUGGGACGCUGUCCAAGUCUCUAUAAUCAUCGCCUCGAUAUAGGAUACAAUGAUUUCUACAAGCGUGGAUCUUCUCAACACCCAUUGUGAGUGGGCUGAUUAGCUUCUUUGCAUAAUAUGUGUUAGCAGGCACUUUGUUAUCCUUAGGAAGCAUGUCUGCGAUAAUGCUUAAGAACGCAUCAAAGCCAACAUCAGAAAGACCAUAUCUAGCUUUGCACAACAACAACUUUAGCACAGACCGCAGCGUCGUGAACUCUUUGGUGCAACCCUUGGACUCAUCAUACAAAGGCUCUUCUGCUGCCUUCAUUAGGGCCUCCAUACCUUUCAUGAAGAACACUGAUGGAUCUUCCGCAUGACGACACAACAUUGCCUCUAGAAAUUCUGCAUCUUCCGCAGCCAUGUUAGUUUCGGUGCCAUCUUCAUUUUCUCCAAUAAAACCAUGAUCAGGAACAUUGGCACAACAUGUUCAGUGCCUAGACCAAUGGUAUUAGGUUGUUGUGUCUCGUGUACGAACUCAAACCCAUCAACAAUUCCAGUUGUAUAAGGCGCAGAGCUACCCUCUCCAUGCUUUGUCCAAAUCAAGUAAUCUUUCAUAAAUCCUCGACGGACCAGAUGAGUAAGGAUUUGUUGAAUGUCAUCAGAUACAACAAGAUUUCUACAAUCCAUGCAUGGACAAUGUAUGUGCGUCUUUCUUGUUCUUGAAGCAUGGUUUUGAGCAGCAUCAAUAAACCUCUGGACCUCAGUUAUGUAUGAUGGAUCUAGUCUUGAUAAAUUAUACAUCCAAAAUGACCUCUCCAUCAAUACCUGUAAAACACCAUUCAUAUGAUCUAAGGGUUUACAAAGGAUUUAUCUAGGGUUUAUUAUCUAGGGUUUAUGGUUCAGCUUGAGAUUAAAGGAAAAAACCUAAGUUACAUAAUUAAAAAAUAAUCUAAGUAUAGCAUAACUAUAUAAAUACAUCAUUCAUUAUAAAUAGAUAGAUGAUAUGGAAGGUGAUAAUAAAAAACCUAACUACCAUAUAAUUAAAAAAAAUCCACAAUUAUCUCUCUACAUAAAUAUACAAAGAACACACCAUUGGUUUAAUCUUGUAAAAACUAGCUAAAUUGAGAAGCAAACAUGUUGAGAGGCAUUAUCCAACCAUAUUAAGCAACCCCAUCUAACAUAUCAACAAAUAAAGACAAGAACCUAGAUAUUCUUCUCUCUCACUCAUAAAACAUACAUACAUGUUGAUAAAUAAAUUGAAAAAUUUAUAAAGAGAGAGAGACAUAAAUUAGAAAACCUAAGUAUAGCAUAACUAUAUAAAUACAACAUUCAUUAUAAAUAGAUAGAUGAUGUGGAAGGUGACAAUAAAAAACCUAACUAUCAUAUAAUUAAAAAAAAUCAACAAUUAUCUCUCUACAUAAAUAUACAAGAACACACCAUUGGUUUAAUCUUGUAAAAACUAGCUAAAUUGAGAAGCAAACAUGUUGAGAGACAUUAUCCAACCAUAUUAAACAACCCCAUCUAACCAUAUCAACAAAUCAAGACAAAAAGCUAGCUAUUCUCUCUCACUCAUGGUGAAACCCUACAUCCAAAAAGUGGCUCAAAUUGAGCUAGAAUGAGCAAAUUGAGGCAAUAGGGACAUAAACUAACCUCUUUUAGCAACCUCCUUCCUAGAAAUGAAGAUCAAAACCUCCCCCUUGUAUUUUGAGAAAUCUAGAACUCCAAAAUCGCCCCCAAUGGAAGGUGGGUGCGAGAUACUGUGUUCUGGUCGGGGAGGAAGAAGGGGUAUUUAUACAGAGAUAACGGUUGCUUAAGUCAACCGCCUGUGAUAUACUGUUUCCACAGGCGGUCGAAAAUCUCUGACACUGCCCGAUUUAUACCACAGGCGCGUCGUAACUGGAACCGCCUGUGGUAUAAAAAGGGGGCGCCAGCUAUGAGCCUCUUUCUACUAGUGGUGGCUCCAGCGCGAAAGAAGAGGCCGGCCACACAAUCAAAUGUGUCGGCCGCCCUGCCGCCAAAAAAGAAAGCCUCCGAAAAGAAACAAACUAUCAUUCCUAAGAAGUUGUCCUAUGAGAAGACUGAUGCAGAACUAGAUGCUUCAGUAAAAUCAGAUGUGGAUAGUUUCUUCAAAAAACAUAAAACUGAAAGUUCCGUCGCUCCCGCCAUCGCUCUCUCUUGCUUGCUUGCUUGAUUGAAGAAGCAGACUGGUGUGCUUCCUUCGCUUAAUUUUAUUAGAGCUAACUAUUCUAGGGGCAGAGAGCUAGGCAAUUUGCAGGACUGAUGGAUCGAGAGUAGUCUGUUUCCCCCUAUAUAUACUGUAAAUUGACGAGGGAGGACGCGCGCGCCUAUGUGCAUGUGUACAGCUUUUAGUUAUAGAAGAGAAUGAAACCACCAUGAACAUUAAUUGUUGAAGGAGAAAGCAGUGAGCACAUGCACCCUACUAAAGUGUAGACUGUGUGUGUACACCAUGACGGAGAGAGAGAGGAAAGGAAAGACCAAAAGAGAACACACGGACGUCAAUAUAUAUAAUAUUGUUGAUCGAGUGACAAUACCUACUCCACACUCCGUAUGCGAUCAUACGACGGAGAAAAUAAUUAGAGUAGGAAUAAGCUCACUCGCAACCACUCCGGAUUAUAUAGACGCCGGUUGUAAAGCCCACUCGCAAGUGCAUGCAUGCUAGGUCAAAAACGAAGGUACACGCGCGGUACGGCCCUGUUUCUUUAGAAGCUACCUUUAUAUUUCCUUUUUCCAUUCUGUCCUAAUUAAAUACGGUACUUUAUAGAUGUAAUAUCCAAUUUUAAUGACAAAACCAGAUAUACACUAUAUGUGAGUCUUAUUAGAAGCCAAAUCUCACAUAUAGCUACAAAUAAAGUGUAAUAUCAAAAGACAAUACAUAAAUUAUAUAACAUACUUAAAGUAUCAGAGAUAACCUUAGACAGUAAACAACGGAAGUAACUCCAAACUUUGGGUAUUAACUCCACCCUUCAUGAUCGAAACUGACUGGUUUAUCACAAGCCUAACACUCCUCCUGAAGUAUGGGAGAAAUAGCAAAAGUGAGUCCAUGUCGAACUCCACAAGUAUCUAGCAACUAAAUUGUAUAGAUCCCACAAUCUCAUGAUCAAUGUGACAUCAAUAAUGUAGAGCGUUAAACAAUGAAUAUGAGCAUAUUAACACAACAAGAAUCAUCACUCUUAAUGCAAGAAUCCCCAAGGCCGCUCGUGCCCGUGAGCACGGCUACUAUACCAGUUUAAUAAACGCUCUGCAGAGGUCGUACAUCUUUACCCAUGAGUCAUGAUUUACUCUUUCACCCGAGGUAGCUAAUCUCUUAACCUCCUUUCUAGGGAGGUCGGCAGGGAUCACUAUGAAGUCUUUUAAAGGUUCAUCUAACAAGUUAUGGCUGCUUAGUUUCAUUAGUCAGUCCAUGUGAUUCUACCAUGCAGGGAUCCACGGUCUGAUAUCCCCCAUUUGCACCACAUGGUAACCUCUAAUAAACUAGAAAAAUUAAUCAUACUUGACUAAAGCCAGAGCCAUUAUUGCCCUCAUGGUUGCACUUCAAUCCCAGUGAUCACUUACAGAUAAAUCCUCAAGUUGCUAAAAAGUCAUUUUUAUCAUUCGUUGCUUAAACAUGAAUCAAGUCACAAGAUCAUGGUCACAGAAAUAAAACACAAUGCUAUACUUGCCUUGAUCCAAUUGCUCCUGCUGAUCUUGCUAGUUGUCCAAGUACUGAUCUUGUUUGUUGUAGCACUCUUGAUCACCCACGAGUUGCUCACCGUCUAAACUCGAUCAUCGAUCAUCAACACACAAACAAUCGAAGACAAACAAACACGAAGCAAACAAGGCUACAAUUAGAACAAUACACUAACAACAUAAAGACAGUAUGAAAAGUUUAUAAAAUGAUUCUACACAGCGCUACAAUCACACGGACGUAAAGAUCACGAAAAUCGGAGCUAAAACGGUGAAGAUAUGAAUUUUCUAAGAUUUUCUUUAGAAAAGUAAUUAAUUAAAUAGGGUAAUGAAAUUAAAAGGUUUCAAACUGGUGAAAUAAAGUUACUAACAUGUAGAUCUAGUGAUUACAAAUCUAAUGCAAUUUGAAUGGUUCAAAUUGGAGUUAAAACAAAUAUUUUAUGAGCAAAAGAAAAUCAGUGGCAAAACUGUAAUUUGUGAAAACAUAUUUUAUAACUGAACUGACAGUUUUCCAUUUUCAAAAUAGUAAAGCGUAUUCUACCAUUUACGCCAAGGACCACAGGUUUACAACUUAAAUAACUCAGGGGUUCUUUUGAAACUGCGGCUGAAGGGGUAUCCUUCACUAUGGGCCGUUGGAUCAGAUUUGGAUGACUAGGAUUAGAUCCAAGGGGGUCAGAGGGGCUCCUCGGCCGGAAACAGUGCCACAGCGGAUCCAUGGCCGGAGCUUGCCAGAGUUCAUUGUUUACAUAUUUACCAUUAUAACGGAGAGCCACUCUCCGGAUCUCGCUCUUUCGGAUUCUCAUAUUGUUUUAGUAGCGUUGCUCGUGAAACCAUACACUUUUACCACUUUUGAUGACGUGGCAUGUUGUUGACAUUCGUUAAGUGCAAUAAGAAUAAGAAAAAUUCCGCAAGCGCACAGAACAUCAUCGUAGCAUUUUACCGGGAGUAUUCCAGAUAUCGUUAUUUAUAUUUUACCACUAGGAAGCUAAGGUCAAAGAAUCUGAUAACUUACUAUCAUGCAUCUACUAAUUUAAUAAACCAACUAGACUAAAGUAGGGGUAAAUGAGAUAUGAUAGGUAAUAAUAUAAAGGUGAGAAUUCUAUGAUAAACGCGUAGAUAGCCAGAGCGGGAGGACAACGGGAGAGACCUAGGUUCCUGUAUACUUCUCUAUUACUUCAGUUCUAUGAUAACAAAGAAUGAAUAGAUAUAGCAAUCACAUAUUAGCACUUUGGGACAUCAGAACACCAACCACAGAAAGAGAACUGGAAGGGGGCUGGGAAGCUCUGACUACAGUCCUACAAACACCAAUCCGAACGAGGUGGAAUACGUCGACCGUUACGGCUGUCACUACCCUAGGGCUACCACAACAAUCUGCAGGACUUGGUGCAACCUCAGGUAACCUGUAGUAUAGACACCACGUCUACACUAACGAUUACUACUCUAAUUACCAUGAAUAACUAGAGCACUCGAUGCGAACGGAGAUCCUAUGCCAAAAUAUAACAACUACACUACUCGAUAAUAACAAAGGCAUAAAAGUAAAUAGAGAAGAUAAUAUAUUAAAGCAUAAGUCUUACAAUAAAUAUAAAGACAUACCAAAACUCUGAAGACUUCUCCAGAACCGGAGCACAGCUCCGCUCUCCCUAACUCCCAACUAGAACUAAUCUACUACAUUGGAAUGUCUAGCCCUAAUUCUCUAUAGAGGAAAGGUUAUCCUUCGAGGGCACCUCUCAACUCUAUAAUGAUAUGUUCUCCUCCAGGGGCCAGGGGCCUUGCUUAUAUAGCCUCCUCCUUUUGUGCCUUUUUAGUUCAGCAGGCGAUGUGGUACUAAACUUUCCACCAUAUCUCAUUAAAAUGCACAUAGGCCUUAACGGACCAAAAUCUGAUUUGGGCCCAAUUAAUCCCGCAGCUCUUUGUGGAGUCCUUUUAUUAAUAUCUCUUGAUUACGAACUCCAAAUAUAGCAAAUAAUAUAUGCAUUUCGAUCAGCUUGACAAGAUCUUUGUAAUGGUGUACUCCAUUCUGUGAUUCGUGCUUGUACUAGGGCGGGCGCCCUAGGAUCAAGGGCGGGCGCCCCGGGCCCAGGCCCGUCUCAGCUCCGCUUCGGUCGAGUUGCUUCUAGAGUCUUCCUGAUUAUGGAAAAUUACCACACACAUUAAUUCUCUAUGUAAACCCGACGUAUGGGCCUUUCCUUCGUAUUUCCUGAUAACCACUGCAGAAAUAGACAAACACCAAAACUCGUGGAAAUCUGUCAAAUAAAACACUAAGUCUAGAUGUCGGUUGCAUUUGGAUCCUUUUUCAUGAUUAGUUGACGGUUAAAUGUGAGCAUUAAGGAUCGUCAACACAUGUCAACACAGCUAUCAGGGCACAGGAAAUGACCUUGCUACCCCUACCCAGCUUCUCUCUCUCUGCUAGCAGCUCUUCUCACUGACAUGUGGACCCCAGGUUUAGCUUCUGCCUCCCCACUCUUUUUCCCUCGCAUAGUCCCGGCGGCCAUGGUGGCCCGCCCCGCACAGGCCCUCGGCGGCCAUGAUGGCCAACGCCUCCCUCCUCGCCAUGCUCCGCACAGUCCCCGCUAGCCUGCCUCCCCGCCAUGCUCUGGCCCAUGCCUACCCUAGAGGCCAUGGCGCCUCGCACCGUAUCCAAGGACCGUUCCGACGAUCGAGGUAUCCAAGGCAUACCAAGGUUGCACGCCACACCCUCGUCAGUCUCCUCAACCAUCACCAAUACAGUGCAUACAGCGGAUCGAUUCUGGGCCCGAGUAGCAUUCUGGCUUCACGAUCGAAAUGACUUAUCGUUCCAGUUAAGUGUGGGGCAUGCGUUCAACAUGACAAGAGGGCCGUCAAUGAUCGGUCCAUAAUCGACAUAGACAGAACCACUAUGGCCAACACCCCUAUAAGGCUCAGCUUGGUCUCAUCUUACUUCUGAACACUUGGUUAUUUCUCAUGAUAGCAACACACUGCUAACCCUUUGGUAUCCACCUAUAUCUCACAGGUGACAGGGAAUCAUCCGACUUCUACCGUGCUAAGCAAGCUAAGCAAUGACUCUGAGCCUGAAAGCAUCUAGGCCCCUAAUAAGUUUCAGUGAUUAAUGACAAUGUUAAUUACUAUGACUAACGUGUGUUUUGCAGAGGCAAAGUCAUUUGAGUUAGGUCAUGCUAAUGGUGAUCAAUGGACUAGGACGUUUGUUGACGGUCCUUAAGUACUAAAAUUAAUAAUCAAAUAAACAUGAAAAAGGAUCAAUAUGAAACAAACAUCUAGAAUUAGGGUUUUAUCUGACAGAAUUCCACGAGCUUUGGUGUUUAUCUAUUUCUGUAGGGGUUUAUCAGAAAAUAUGGAGAGAAGGCCCACAUGUCAUGUUUACAACGAGAUAAUUACGUGCCGCGUAAUUUUCCUUGAUCUAGAAGAGUCCAGAAGCCACGGGAACGAACGGGAAGCGAUUCGGGCUCGGGGGCAGGGCGCCCGCCCACCCCCCUUGGGCGCCCGCCCAGGGUAGGAGUCCAAACAGGACUCUGCUUCGGGGCAAGACUCCACCGACCUAAAGGAUCAAUCUAAACCAUACAAUCUAUGUCGGUUUGAUCCAAUGGCUCACGUUCACUUGAGGGGACUAUAAAACCAGACCCCCUGGCCCCUAGAGGAGGAGAGGAGAAAUCAUUAUUCAGAGGUAGCCAUCAAAGUUAGGGUUUAGAGCUUCUCUCCCACAGAGAAUUAGAAUUAGCUACUCCCUAAUCCUUCAAGUUUAGAGGUUGAUUAGAUAGCAAUUAGAGAAGUAGAGCACUACGCUCUGGAUUCGAAUCUUCGGUAAAAAAGAUUGGUAUUAUUCAUAUCUUUCUCUAAUUCUAUUGUUCUAAUUGCAUUAUGUCUUUAAUUAUUAUGUUCUUAGUUUGCUCUAGUUCUAUAUUUGAUAUAGUUCUAAUUGAUAAUGAGUUUAUGUAUAAGUUUGCAAAGCUCUUAGCUCUUGACGCGAGGGAGUUAGGUGAUAGAUCACAUGUGAGCGUGGUGUUUAGAUGUUAUUUAUCUACAAAUGUAUCCUAUUGGCCGGGUCGUGUGGUAGUUCGCGAUAGUGACAGCUUCGUUGAUUCUUAUAUAGUCCACCCUUCGCUGAUAGGACAGGCAGAACCGGUAUUGUGGAGUAAGUCAUGCGAUGUUCUGAUUUACUUUAUCAAUGUUCCUUAUACAUGAAUGAAGAGUCUUUUAUGCUAUAUAUGAUCUUGUAGAUAACUAGAGUAGAUUAUGACUUAGUAGUUAGUAGAUAACUUAGAAUUCAUUCUCUAGCUAAUCUGACAUCACCUACAUAUAUGAGGAGUAGUCUAUUUUCUAAUCGUUGUGCUAUCUACCCAUGAACUUAUACUUUAUUAUCAUUAUCUUUAUGGUUUACCCCCUGCUAGAGUAAGUGACUGUGUGACGAGUUUCUCAUUAGUAAUCAUGUUCUUGCAAGUUUAUCUCUAGUCUAUGCCUUGAUAGAUUUUGUUCCUUGAUUUAAUUUCAUCUUCUUUAGAUCCCUUGAGCAAAAAGUAUAAAUAACGAUACCUGGAAUACUUAUCCUGGUGAAAUGCUACAAUGAGGUGUUUUAUCUGUGCGCUUGCGGAUAGAAUAGAUUAUUUUCUAGAGAGCCUUUACAUUUAUAAAUACCUUUGUACACUCUGGCACCAUGCUGGGGAUGACAACCUAGUAUUUAAGUGGUGUUAGCUAGUGUCAACAAGCAUUUCUGGCGCCGUUGCCGGGGAUCUUAAGGGAUUUAUAGGAAUUAUACGAGUCUCAGGAAUAAGUCAUAAAAGGGAACAAAAGGGUAAUGCUUAGGAAAGCCAGAAAAACAGUCAAGGUUAUUCAUAUAAAAUAUUAGACUAGACUAUAGAGAAAUAAUUGCAUAGAACAGCUACUAAGUGAGAAAUCAUAACAAGGCACCUGUGCUUUGGCAGGUUCACCCUGUUGUUUUUCUAUGUUUAUAUUUUUAUACAGGGUAUAACAGGAUUGACUUUGGGUACAUUCAACUCUUCAUCAUCAGAACCAAAGCAAUCAAGAAGAAGCUAGCUACCAAUUGCUGAAGCUAUGGCACAAAAGACCUUGCAAGAAUUCUCUGCUCCAAGUCUUGACAACAUUCCAACUGGUCCAAGAUUUACAGUAGAAGAAGGAAUACCCGAGUUUGAGCUCAAGUCAAGCCUCAUCAAUUUGGUACAAGCUACACAAUUCAGUGGAAAGGCACAUGAAGAUGCCAGUGCACACUUGCAGAAUUUCUUAGAGAUUGGAAGCACAAUCCACAUCAAUGGAGUUGACAAAGACGUCAUACUGCUUCGCCUUUUUCCAUUCUCACUAGAAGGAAAAGCGAGGAAGUGGUUCUACACUCAUCAAGAUAACAUCAACAACUGGACGAACUUGUCAGAUGCCUUUCUAUCAAAGUUUUUCCCUAUAGGCAAAACAACUGCCUUAAGAGGAAAUAUUGUCAGUUUCCAACAACAGAAGACAGAAGCCAUUUCAGAAGCAUGGGAGCGUUUUCAAGGAUACAUAUCAGAUUGUCCUCACCAUGGAAUGGCCACAUGGUUACUUAUGCAGACCUUCUACCAUGGAUUAACCCAGAAGGCUCGUGAGUGCCUAGAUGCAUCUGCUAAAGGAUCAUUCUUGGAGCUUACAACUGGAAAAGCAGAGAUACUUUUGGAUAAGAUAGCAGAAAACCAAAGCUGGUCCCAAGAUAAAGCUCAACAAUGUCAUCAAACUGAAGAAAUACCAGAGGAAGUAAAAGCAUUAUCAACUAAGAUGGAAAAUUUGCUCCAUUGGAUUGACCAGAGGGCCAAGUUCAAAGAAGAUCAAAGGGCCAUUGAGACAGCAUACAAAUAUCAACCAACUUCGAGUCAACCCAAUAGCAAAGGUAUGAAUUCAGGUAAUACUGUCAAGCAACUUUCAUUAAAAGAGAUAAUUGCUCAACAAACUAAAAUUAAUGAUGAAGUUAAACAAAGGCUAGAUACAAAUGAAUCAUCUCUAAAAGAUAUAUACAAUAAAAUAGAUUUUCUACUAACUGCCUUUGAUGAGCAAAACACUCUUAAUAAAAGGGUAGAACUUAAAUUAAUAAAGAUAGCUGCUGCACUGCCUGUUGCUACUAACCUUGAGCAGGUAAAGAAUAUAACUACUAGAGGAGGCAAAGCUACCAGAGAUCCCCCAUACCCAAAAGAGAAACAAAGAACAUCAGCACCAGUGCAACCCGCAGUGAUAGAAGAAGAAAGCCCAGUUGAAGCAGAAGAUCUGCUCCAACCACCAAGAACUGGAGAAAUGAGGAAAGAUUUUUACGACACCAACUAUUUGCCAUUUCCCAGAAGAAACAGAGAACUGCAGUCGGAUGAGCAGUUUGGUAAGUUUGUAGAGGUUAUUCAGAAAUUAUAUGUCAACAUACCUCUGCUGGAUGCCAUACAGGUACCUACAUAUGCAAAGUACAUCAGAGAUAUUCUUAACAAGAAGAGACCACUGCCCACCACUGAGGUUAUCAAGCUGACAGAAGAAUGUAGUGCGGCCAUCCUCAACAAACCACCGAAGAAGAAGGAAGAUCCCGGAUGUCCCACUAUUGAUUGCUCGAUCGGAAAUCAAUACUUCAACAAUGCACUUUGUGAUCUUGGAGCAAGUGUCAGUGUGAUGCCAGCAUCAGUCUACAAAAAGCUUGAGCAUGCAACCUUAGAACCAACAUCAAUGUGCCUACAACUAGCAGAUCAAUCGGUUCGACACCCGUUGGGCAUCGCCGAGAACAUUCCAGUCAAGAUCAGAGAUUUCCUUAUGCCAGUAGACUUCGUAGUACUGGACAUGAGUCCUGACUCAAAAGUGUCCAUCAUCCUUAGAAGACCAUUUCUGAGCACUGCCAAUGCCCACAUUGAUGUCGGGAAGGGAGAAAUCAAAUUUAACAUAAACGGUCAAGAAGAACACUUCACAUUCAAACCCAGACCAGAGAGAGACUCUACAGUGAAGGAAGUUCAUGAAGAACCACUGGAGACACCAUCUCCGGAGGAAGGUAACUCAGAAGAUUAAAAUAUUUUGAGGUCCAGCUUGGGGGACCUAAAAAUCCCAAACCCUCACCGGGAGGUAAAUCGGUAUUUACCCGCAUUAUUAAUUUUCUCAUAUUUAAAUUCUUGCAUAAUUAAUUCUUGCAUUAGUCAUAAAUAUUCAUAGCAUAAUUAUAAUAAUCAAAAGCCCCAUAUAAAUAAUAUUCGUGGUAUGUAACAACCCAUAUUUAUUAAUUAUUGUGGAGGCACAAAAAUAUUUUCCAUUAUCAUUUUCAUUAAGUUAUAAUUCUCAUAGAUUUUCCUGCAUUAUAUUAUAGUAAUCUUCUAGAAGCAUGACCCACACUCUUUGGGUCCCACAUGUCAUACACUUCACCUCACAUACAUCCCAUCAUAUAAUUUCAUCCACCAAUAUGUUUCCACUCACCUGACAUCUUUCCACCGUCCAACCACUACCAACACAAUAUUAUUCUGCGUGAGAUCAAAGCAAGGAAGCAAGUGGAGGAGGCACACCCAGGAUGGACACCAGGGGUGGGCGCCCGCCCCACCUCCCUUGGGCGCCCGCCCUGUCCCCUGCUCAGCCUAUAAAAGGCCACCUCCAGCUCCCCUUCUCUUCACACAAACACUCCAGAAAACCACACAAGCUUCAGUUUCCCGAGAAGGAGCUCUUGUAGUGAAGAGAAGAGAGUAGAGAGAAAGAGGAGAGUGGAAGGGAAGGUUGGGAGUUCUUUUGAAAGAGUGAUUAUCACCUAGCAAGUAGUGAUCCUGUUGUCUAAGCGGAAGUAAAAGUUGUUUAGGGGGAGGCUCUACCAAAAUAGAAACUUAUCUUAAACGAUUAACCCCUGGACCACUGACACUCCGGACAGCUGACCACUAACAUUUUAUCUCACAUUUUCCACCAGUUGUGUUUUUGCCAACUUUUGUUUGCAGGAUGUUUAAGAAGGUGAAGAAUGCAGGGAAGGCUCUCAAGAACAUUGGUACAAGGAGUUCAUCCCGACACUCCUCACAGCCAUCAGAGAUGAGCGUCGACCCAACACCCACACAAGCUCCAUCAUCUUCAUUAGGUCAGCAAGUUAAGGUCCUUCUCAAGAUAGGAGACCUAGGACUGAAGAACCGAAGAGAGAAGGAAGUCUAUCAGCAAUUGAAGAACAAAGAUUUCAUUCAUACUCCUACUCUCGAUCCAAUCCUACUACAAGAAACAGGUAUGGACACUGAAUUCGACAUAAUUUUUCAGAUGAUGGGUUGGACAAAUUUUUGGAAUAUAACUGAGCUGGGUUCUCGUCUUCUCACCCUCGAAUUUCUUUGCACCUUACAAUACUAUGAGGGGGGAAUUGUUUUUCGGAUGUUUAAACAAGAGAUUAUGCUAUCUUGGAGAGAGCUGAGCGACCAUCUUGGUUUCUCUUCAAGAUGCAUCCUGAACAUUGACUCCGAUUUACCCAACUUUGAGAGACACCAGUUUUGGAGAGAAAUAUCUAAAGAUAAUUUUUAUAGUCAAGCCCGAACCAGUGACAUGGAGCACCCCACUCUUAGGAUGUUCCACAAAUGGCUUGGGUACAAUAUUUUCUAUCGUGACGAUAUUAGGAAAGUAAGAGUAGGAGAUUUACAACUUUUAUAUGCUGCUAUUAGUAAAGUACCCACUUCACCUGUUACACUAUUAGUUUCACAUUGGCUUAGUAUACCUAGUCUUCAGGGACCAGUAGGAUGUACUUCACUUAUCCCUCGUCUAGCCACUAAUCUUCACUUACUAGAAAACUCAUCGUUGGACUUUAUAGAAGAAUUAAGAAUUUAUCAUGGCUAUGACACAUUUAGACAAGCUCGGAUGUUAAAGAAAGAGGGGAAUAUAAUGUAUAUGCUGUAUGAUGAUAAAGGCAAGAUUCGGUUACCUAACCCGAACCUUGGCCUCUACGUUGUGCAAAACUUUUUGAUUGAGAUUGCAGCAACACCAGUGAACCAGAGAACUCCACAGCGAGUGGCAUCUGAAAGGAUAACCACUCACCGAGAACGCACUUGGUACGGAGCUGACCCUGGACCAGAAGAAGCAGCGCACCUGCAUUAUUGCGAUUACAACCCUCGAGUCCUUCGAGACCCAUGGGCUCGUCAUGCGCAACCGCAAGAGCCAACAGAGGAGACAUGGCCGGAGAGCCAAGAUCACCAGUGGACAAACCCGCCUUUUCAUAAGGGCAGGUACUCCACUGAUCCAUAUGGAGCUUCAGGAUCCAGACCUCCGCCCCAAUUUGAUGCAGGACGAUACUCCGACGCCUCCUACGCUUUCACGAAUGAUUACUAUCAAGAGGCCAGUGCUUUCUUCACUCGUACCGACAACACCCUCCUCGACAUCCAGAACACGCAAGCAGAACAUGGAAGACUCCUGGAAGAGCAACAAAAAUGGAACCAGGACCAUGCAGCUGCAGUAGAAGAGUUAAGACAAGAUACAACAACAAUGAACGACAACAUCACAACCAUGAUGCGGUUCUGGAACAUCAGGUAAGACCGACGUCAACAUCCAGCUUGGGGGAGUUCCUCCCAAAUUUAUCAAGUAAGUUUUUAUUUGCUCUUCUUAUUUAUUCUAUUCUGUCUUAGUAUUUAAUUUAUCUUAAAAGAAAAAAAACUUAGAAAACCAAAUAAAUAUUUUCUUGCUUUAAUUUACCGCAUUCUAUAAACAUGAAAACAAAAUAACAAAAUAAAAAGAGUGUGUAGAUAAGUGUGCUUUAUUUUCCUGCUAAGUUUAAUCUCUAGAAAAAUAUAAAAAGACCAAAAAAGAUACAUGAUGGAAAUGAUGAACAGUUGCUCUGUUUGCUUACUUAUAAGUACCUAGCUUUUAUAUUAGAGUUCUUCCAGGAAUUACUAAAACUGAAAUUACUAUCUUUGGGAAGCAUAAAACUAAAGUCUAGGUAAGAGAAAGGCAUGAUAUAAAGUUGAGCUACUGUUUAUCUUGUUCCUACUACACCAAGUUCUAGAGAUUUAUUUUGAAAACUUGCAAAUCACAUGAUGAGUUCCUAGUAUAACAAAACUACCUACCACAGCCAUACUUGCUAUAACAUCUUUUACUAUAUUUACAUUGAGUUUGAUCGAGCUGUGUCGACCCUUAGGAGCUUUUCAUGUGGUUAAAUUAAGAUAUUCACUUGCACACAUCUACCACAGCAUCCAUCAUCAAUCAUUAAAAUUGCUAAAAAAUAUUAUCACUCACUGUCCCGAAUAUUGUUAUUCUCUCUCUAAAAAGAUUCAAUGCAGAAGAGGCAUGGGUUAUGCAAAAAUAUACGAGGAAAUAAAAAGGGGCAAGUGACCGGAACCUCGAAAAAGAAAGAAAAAGAGUGAGACGAGAAGUAAAAAUAGACAAGUGUCCGAAGUAGAAUUAGGGGUACAAAAAUGCCCACUUGAGCGGAAAAAAAUGGACAAGUGUCCCACAGUAGAAUUAGGGGUAUCUAUUACCCACCUGAAAAAAAAAGAAGAAAAAAGAGAGAAAAAGAUAGCCCAUGUUCUCCCAAGGCAAAGAUCAAAGAGGAGGAGAGAUAGCAAUAUAAGGAGCAAUGAGAACUAAGUUUUAUUAUCACUUAUGCAUUUUCACUAUCAUUUACUCCAUCACACAUGCACAUCUUGAUUUAAUUAUAUGCUGAGUUCCUUUGGAUCCAUGGCUCGAUUAGACAACAUACGUAUGAGCUGUUUUCCACUCCUAUGAGCUCCACUUAAAUAUUCCAUUAGCUAUAGGUAAGUGACAUUAUGGUAAGGAUCCACAAAUACCACAUAUAGAGAGACUUGAGAGAAUCAUUGCUGGGAACUCUGAGUUUUAUUUUAAAAACUUAUGAAAAAACUCUAGAACAAAGGUGAAGUAUAGACAGGAGGAAUAGUGCUUGACUUAACUAUUUUUGUCUUUCGAUUACUUAAGACUUAAGUGCAGGUACUAAACUCCAUAACACUUCACUCUAAUCUGGAAGAAUUUUUAUGUAAAAGCAUGUGUGCCUGUCAAGAAAGAAAACAUCGAAGCAACUCCUGAUCCGUCUGAGUUUAGCUGUUUGCUCAGGGACGAGCAAAGGGUAAGCUUGGAGGAGUUUGUUGACGGUCCUUAAGUACUAAAAUUAAUAAUCAAAUAAACAUAAAAAAGGAUCAAUAUGAAACAAACAUCUAGAAUUAGGGUUUUAUCUGACAGAAUUCCACGAGCUUUGGUGUUUAUCUAUUUCUGCAGGGGUUUAUCAAAAAAUAUGGAGAGAAGGCCCACAUGUCAUGUUUACAACGAGAUAAUUACGUGCCGCGCAAUUUUCCUUGAUCUAGAAGAGUCCAGAAGCCACGGGAACGAACGGGAAGCGAUUCGGGCUCGGGGGCAGGGCGCCCGCCCACCCCCCUUGGGCGCCCGCCCAGGGUAGGAGUCCAAACAGGACUCUGCUUCGGGGCAAGACUCCACCGACCUAAAGGAUCAAUCUAAACCAUACAAUCUAUGUCGGUUUGAUCCAAUGGCUCACGUUCACUUGAGGGGACUAUAAAACCAGACCCCCUGGCCCCUGGAGGAGGAGAGGAGAAAUCAUUAUUCAGAGGUAGCCAUCAAAGUUAGGGUUUAGAGCUUCUCUCCCACAGAGAAUUAGAAUUAGCUACUCCCUAAUCCUUCAAGUUUAGAGGUUGAUUAGAUAGCAAUUAGAGAAGUAGAGCACUACGCUCUGGAUUCGGAUCUUCGGUAAUAAAGAUUGGUAUUAUUCAUAUCUUUCUCUAAUUCUAUUGUUCUAAUUGUAUUAUGUCUUUAAUUAUUAUGUUCUUAGUUUGCUCUAGUUCUAUAUUUGAUAUAGUUCUAAUUGAUAAUGAGUUUAUGUAUAAGUUUGCAAAGCGCUUAGCUCUUGACGCGAGGGAGUUAGGUGAUAGAUCACAUGUGAGCGUGGUGCUUAGAUGUUAUUUAUCUGCAAAUGUAUCCUAUUGGCCAGGUCGUGUGGUAGUUCGCGAUAGUGACAGCUUCGUUGAUUCUUAUAUAGUCCACCCUCCGUUGAUAGGACAGGCAGAACCGGUAUUGUGGAGUAAGUCAUGCAAUGUUCUGAUUUACUUUAUCAAUGUUCCUUAUACAUGAAUGAAGAGUCUUUUAUGCUAUAUAUGAUCUUGUAGAUAACUAGAGUAGAUUAUGACUUAGUAGUUAGUAGAUAACUUAGAAUCCAUUCUCUAGCUAAUCUGACAUCACCUACAUAUAUGAGGAGUAGUCUAUUUUCUAAUCGCUGUGCUAUCUACCCAUGAACUUAUACUUUAUUAUCAUUAUCUUUAUGGUUUACCCCCUGCUAGAGUAAGUGACUGUGUGACGAGUUUCUCAUUAGUAAUCAUGUUCUUGCAAGUUUAUCUCUAGUCUAUGCCUUGAUAGAUUUUAUUCCUUGAUUUAAUUUCAUCUUCUUUAGAUCCCUUGAGCAAAAUUAUAAAUAACGAUACCUGGAAUACUUAUCCUGGUGAAAUGCUACAAUGAGGUAUUUUAUCUGUACACUUGCGGAUAGAAUAGAUUAUUUUUUAGAGAGCCUUUACAUUUAUAAAUACCUUUGUACACUCUGGCACCAUGCUGGGGAUGACAACCUUGUAUUUAAGUGGUGUUAGCUAGUGUCAACAACGUUCAUGCCGACUUAAUGGUGGAAAUUGUUUCGGUUUUCAAAGGAUUGUUGGACAUCGUCAAGACUAGACUAGGUCUAGGUGCCAUAUGGUGUUGGAGGGCACUUAGAGUGGUAGGAACUCUUACAUAGGUCGGUUUACUCUAGACAAAUAUACUCAAUUGUAAUCUUCAGAAUAACAUAGGUUGGGUUUGGGUGCUCGGUUUCGCACAACAGGAAGGCAAGAGAAGGGAUUAGCACACCUGGGAGACAUCGACAUGGAUGCUAGUGGUCGGCGAGAACAUGGAUCCAGGAGCGAUGGCGUGGCAGCGGUCCUCGAUGGAAGCGUGGCAGCAGUCCUUGGUGGCGGCGCUCCAGCUCCCUGGUAGCUUGGUCAGGCCUAACAAACUUGGAAUUGUGUAGGAACUAUUACAUAGGUCGGUUUGCUUUAGACAAAUAUACUUAAUUUUUAAAAAAUCAUAUAGGUUUAUCUUAUUUUGAAUUCCAUGCAUUAGGUACCGAUCGAUUUCAGAAACCAAUUUGUAAGUUGGACUGAAGGGUAUGGUAAUCUACAGAAUAACAUAACAGCUUUAUUGCAUGUUUUAGUACUCUGCUCUUAUUUUUUUUCAGCCUUUUCAACUUAUAUCACAAUAAACUUGUUUAAUUAUUUCAGCUAUUGUGAUAUGGGUUAACACAUUUAUAAACCUGAUAUCACAUAAAUACCCGCACAUGAUCAACUAAAUGAUCUGAUGUCAAAUUUGAUCUUUGCCUAAAUAUAUCGCUGGUAACCACUAUCUCAUGCCUUCUAGAUAGACACAUGGCAUCUUUAAGCCAUCCCAACCAUUACAGAAAUAAACACAUGAUUACUAAAGAUAUUGAUCAUCACUAUUUCUAUAAUUUCAUGACCACACCCAAAGUGUUUACUUUUAUUUAAGUAUGAUAUACUGAAGAAAUAAAGACUCAUACAUUAAGAUCAGUAACCAUCUUGGCACUAAGGACCCUGGCUAGUUCUCCAUGGGUUUGCUAAGAAUCCACAUUAAGAAGCAGAACAGGAUAAUCAUGUACAUAGAAAAGGGUAGUCAGUUUCAUUUAGAAAAAAAUAAAAAUCACCCAUGCACUGCUUAAAUUAUUUUUUCCACUGUUGUGUACAUGGGAAUUGCAUUAUAUAAAGAUUCUGAAAUGAACAGUAAAUUAGUACUCUGCUCUUACUUUGCUCUCUGAUCUGGUCCACAACAGACCCAUUUGUUCCAUAAUAAACGGAGAAAUAAGUACAAAAAUAUAAUUGUUGCAUCUAACCAUACGGUAUAGUGGCAUUUCCAAAAGAGUUCACAUGCAUAUGAGAUAAGAUUAGAUCUGCUAGCUCAAACCCAUUGUUACCAUAAAAGUAUCUUCUUACAAUCAACUAACCGUGCAGACUCCUGGCGAGAGGUAUGAAUGCUGAUGGCAAGGUGAGAGAGACUUGGUGUCCACUCUUUAGUCUUUUUAGUUGUGGGAGACUUGGCCUUCUUUUUCUGCAAGUAAUACUGUCAGUGCCCAAUAGCCAAUGCUUGUAAUUACAAAUGCAGUAAUGCCAUGCCCAGAAUUAAGAUCACAACAUUAUAUGGCUUGUGACACAAAGGUUACCAAUCUGUGGAAGAUAAAGUUUGUUAUGUAAACAGAAAUUUUAGUUGUAGGAGAUAUGUAUAUCUCUAGACACCAAACAAUGAGGUCCUAAUUCUUAAGGAAGCUCAACCGUAACUGCAAAAUCAGAUUGCAAAACCCUAUAUGUAUGUCGUAGUCCUAGACACCAAAAGAUGAGCUCCUAAUUUCUAAGUACGCAUCCCAAUCCUAUUCCUAUCUAGGUAGCCCGAUUACUGCCAGAACAACACCCUUCAGAUAUAAGCUGCUCAAACUUUCUGGUGAGUACAGCUUUAUAAGACAUAAGAGCUGAUGAACUGAAUCACAUGGUCGUUAAGAUAUGACAUAUUGAUCCUUUAACAGAUAUAGGAUUCUCCAUCUUGUUACAAUGCAAAUAUCUCAUGGCUAGACACAAAGGUCUCUUAUUUUAGUGCCAGAUUGAGUUUUCAUCAGGUUGUUACUAAAAAGCAUAUAACAACACAGAAGGCAGUAUAUCCAUGUUGACAAUGUUAUCAUCAGGUCAAGCAGAAUUUACCACCUGGCCUCAUUUAGACUUUUGGUGGGUAACCAUCAGGGAUUAGUAAUGCAAAUGAGUCGCAAACAUUUUGUAGGGCUGUAAGCAAUCAACCAUAGACAGGUCAUGGAAGUGGAACUGUUACUUAGUCAUUUUGCAGGGUUGAAUUGAUUUAGUAACUGCAUGAGAAAAAUGUUUUUAGCUAAUGCACCAGUACUGAACUUGGAACUGUGUAGGAACUGUUACAUAGGUCGGUUUGCUUUAGACAAAUAUACUUAAUUGUUAAAAAAUCAUAUAGGUUAAUCUUAUUUUGAAUUCCGUGCAUUAGGUACUGAUCGAUUUCAGAAACCAAUUUGUAAGUUGGACUGAUGAGUAUGGUAAUCUACAGAAUAACAUAGGUUGGGUUUGGGUGCUCGGUUUUGCACAAUAGGAAGGGAAGAGAAGGGAUUAGCAUACCUGGGGACACCGAUGUGGAUGCUGGUGGUUGGUGAGAACCUGGAUCCAGGAGCGAUGGCGUGGCAGCAGUCCUUGGUGGCGGCGUUCUGGCUCCCUGGUAGCUUGGUCAGGCCUGACAAGAUCCAACAAUAAUGUGAAGCACAUAAUAGCUUUACUGCAUGUUUUAGUACCCAGCUCUUAUUUCUUUUCAACUUAUGUCACAAUAAACUUGUUUAAUUAUUUCAGCUAUUAUGAUAUGGGUUAACACAUUUAUAAACCUGAUAUCACAUAAAUACCCGCACAUGAUCAACUAAAUGAUCUGAUGCCAAAUUUGAUCUUUGCCUAAAUAUAUCUAGACUCUAACGACCUGCUGGUAACCACUAUCUCAUGCAUUCUAGAUAGACACAUGGCAUAACACAUGAUUACUAAAGAGUUUGAUCAUCACUAAUUCCAUAAUUUCAUGACCGCACUCAAGAAAUAAAGACUCAUACAUUAAGGAGAACAACAGAAUCAUGUAUGUAAAAAGGGUAGUCAUUUCCAUUUAGGAAAAAAUAAAAAUCACCCAUGCACUCCUUAAAUUAUUUUUCCACUGCUGUGUAGAUGGAAAUUGCAUUAUAAAGAUUCUGAAAUGAACAGUAAAUUUAGUAAUCUGCUCUCUGAUCUUGUCCACGACAGACCCAUUUGUUCCAUAAUAAAUAGAGAAAUAAGUACAAAAAUAUAACUGUUGGGAGACAAUGCAGACGUUCAUACCAAUCUUGAAUCCAUGUUUGCAAAUUGAAAAGAAACAACUUCAACGAUAUUGUUUUCAGUGAACUUAACGCUCAGUUCGUCACCAAAUCAACCAUCAGUUUCACAUUGUCGGGUAGGAUAAGGGAUUGGCACACCUGAACUUAACCCUCAGUUCGCACCAAAAUCAACCCUCAGUUUCACAUUGCAGGGCAGAAGGAGAAAGGAUUGGCACACCUGGUGGUGCUGCGCGCAGGAUCAGGGGGAGGGACGUGUGGGAGCCCUCCCAGCUUCUGCUGCUGCAGGCCUUCGUCGCCGGUGAAUGGAUCCAGAUGAGGGCGAGCCGAAUCAGGGACAUAGAUACAGACACCGAUGUGGUGGGGGUCGCAGGGCGAUCGGCAAAGGAGAGGUGCGGGGAGGACUGAAGGAGUGCGGGGAGGAGAUCGCAUGCAUAGGGGCAGGCGGUGGCGGGCGAGGAUGCGUGGGAGCCGAGCAGGCAGCGGCGCAGUGAGGGUGACGAUGGGGAUGCGGUCAAUCCCUUGCUCCCGUGAUUUGAUUCCUGCCUUUCUAGGAUGGGGGCGCGGUAUGGGUCGCGCGUAGGAGCGAGGGACUUGGGAUCGCAGGAGGCAGAACCAUGGACCCUCGUUACAAUGUCGCACCAAAAUGAUGUCCACUCUUUAGUCUUUUUAUUUGUAUAUAGGAGAUAUCUAAUACUAUAGACGCAAAAUUUCAAUCUAAGUUUUCGUCUGAUAUUUUUUUCAGCUGUUCUCUCUCCCUCUCAUGUACGGUCGAGACUUGAAUAUGUACAAGACAAGAUAAUAAUGGCCUCUCAUAAAAAUAAGUCGGGCCGUUUAGCCGCUCGGUUCCGGCCAUGGGCCGCUAUGUCGGGUCAAUUCAUCGGCAAUCAGGCGGAGCAAUCUAAGAAUCUUGCUUGGUAAAAGGAGCCACCUUUUUCUGUUGCCGCGGAUUGUAGUUUGGGACGGAGUCGAUUGGAGAGUUGGAGGUGGGAGGGGAUGGAUCGAUGCGGAGAGCAAGACGACAGAUGAAUGAACGAGUUGAGUAGAGUUUUCCGGGAACUAAUCUUUCUUUUAAUAUAUAAUUGUGAAAAUUUUAGCUCACCAUAUCUUUAUAUAUUCAUCAAUCUAAAGAUUAAUUAAAUGAUGAUCCUCUCGUUCGGAUCUAGUUUCCUAUUAUUUUUAGCUUUUUUUCUGUUUAUGGCACGAUGACUCCUGAUCCAAUUGGAUUAGGGAAAAAAAAGAAAAAUUAUAGGCUGAAUCUAACUCAGAAGCCUAACAUGUGGGCUCGACCAAAAUCCAAAACGAUAAGAAAUUUUGCCUUUUAUUAUUAGAGAAGAAGAAGAAGGAACUACAUAUAGCCUACGAUUGAUAUCAAACUAAAUAAAGAAAUCGGAGCAAAAUAAAGAACGUAAUUUUUGUCCUUUUCUAUUUGACUAUUAAAAGUUGUAUUUAGAAUACUUAGAAUGUGAGAAAUUUAUUUGUAUUAGAACUCUUACUCCAUAUUAGUUUAGACGCAAGUAAUUUUAACUCGUAUGAGCUUGGGUUAUAUAUAAGUCCAGAUAAAAGAAACUCUCCAUUGUUCGAUAGUUAGAGGAAGAUAGACAAAAAAAAUGGAUGAACAAAAAAAAAGAGCCUGAAAUUUUGCCUCUUUAUUAUUACUAGUAAAAGUGCCCGUGCGUUGCAACGGGAGAAAAAACAUGUUAGCGGAAAAUGAAAAUAUCAACAUAUGCCCGUGCGUUGCAACAGGAUGUACGACUUAUUGCAUAAUCACCAUACUUCUAAAUUCAUCUUGAUACUGAAACUAACUUGGUUCUUUGAUAUUAGUUAUAUUAUAUUAUAUAGGUAUAUGGAUAUGGAUUAUUUAAAUAAUUUUUUCUCUUAAUGUAAUUUUGUAGCACAAAAGAAUAUUUUUUAACAAAAUAGAAGACAUAAUCUUGAUUUUCUUUGACUAGAACUCAAAUCUUGGGUUGGCCUAGGUGGCCUGGUCGGCUGGUAAGGCUAGUCUCAAUGCAUGUUUCAUGAGAGUGUCAUGCACAUUAAAUAGAAUACCACAUAAACAAAAUUGCUGACUUGGCAGGGUCAUUAAAUGCAGGAGUUUCAUCAGAUGAGAGAAGCGUUCCAUCUCGAUGGAACUCAUGUGGCUCAGUUAACUAGUUUAUAGGCUUGGUAAUUGUGUCAUGAAACUAUGUAUCGAGACUGGCCUAAAUGGGCCUUUGCCCUAGCCCACGUACGUGUAUCCGAUUUGUUCAACACGUUGAAUAGCCACGCACACGUCCAGGUCUCCAUGACAUACUAACAAGUACAGCUGACUCUUGCUCACGAAGCUGCCCAAUGCUCGCUGGCAUUGGUCGGUCGCUCACCUUUGUGACAACCGCUCCCUAGCACUGACGCAAGUCGCUGUUGCUCACCUAUGUGGCCAUCGCUCCCUUGCCCUUCUCCAUCGAUGGAUGCGGUUCUACAAAUCCUCUCGUGUGGCCACGCUCGAGAAGCAGUGGUGGAGUUUGCACGGGCCACGACCUUGGUUGCGGUUAGCAUCUUGCGAGGGCGCAAUCCCAGCGUAAAGAUGGCAACGUUCUGCAUGCCCAUAUAUGGGCAAAAGACUCGCUAGGCAAGGAUACGGGUGCGUGAAUCUGCCCAUAGGCACGGAUGCAGGUCCAUCUUCUUCAAACCCGACGGAUAUCAGGUGACAUGCAAGAAAAUAUUCUAUCCACACCCGCAAACCCACCUUACCAGUUAUCCCCAACGCACUGGCAACCAAUAGCCCACAUUCUUGUUUCCGGCCCAUCAAAUCCUAUUCACAAGAUUUAUCUUUUUAUUUUUCCUUCGUGAGUCAGUUUUGCUAAUUGCAUUUUUUUCCCGCAGCAUGUGGUAUCCAAUCUUGAACUUUCGCGAAGCAAUCGGGCUCGAGUUCUUCCUCGAAAGAAGUGUUUUUUUUCCUCACCAGGGGCGUAAUAUGCUGCUUGUGAUGCAGUACAGGAAAUGGUUAUAUUUGUUAACUUAAAAGAGAUGUACGGAUGUUGAUUUCUAGAUUUGUGGUUGUUCAUUUGGCAUUAGGCAGGUAGUUAAUUGUUUAGAGCCAUAAGCCGUGGUAGGGUCGAACCAUUUCUGUUUGAUGAGUGCUGAUACUGGCUCACACUCUGACUUUACAGUUUAGAAUUUGAAUUUAACUGCCAUUUUGAAAGUGGCCAGCUGCUAUGAUAGAGAAGUAAUACUAGAAACCCCUUGAAAUUAUCGAUUUUGGCGGCGGUUUUAAAUUACCCAAACCUAACAAUUUGAGUUUGACGUCCCUUCUACUAUUUAGGGCUAGGAUUACACUUACAUUGAGAUUUUAAAAUUCUAGCCUUGUGAAUAUAUGUAAGCAAUCGAAACUUGAGGGGAACUUGACAAACAUUUGAUUUUUACUGCCCAAUUUGUCACAUUUUUUGUUACAUGAUGCACAUGAAAGGUAAAAAACAUGGUAAGAAGUUUGGAAACGGAAGCGCACAGUGAUGCAGGGCCGGUGUCACAACCACAAUACUCUGAUUUUUUACGAGGGCAAAGCACAAUUUUUUUUCCGAGAUUGGGUCAUUCACCCGUUUUUUAUUAAAAAAAUGAAUUAACCAAGUUUACAUAAGAUCCACAAGUAACCCGUGGAUUACCAACAAAAUUCCACAGACACAAACAACAAGAAAACAAGAGGGGGGACACUCCACCUCAAAGCGCCAACUGAUUAAGCCUAAUACAAGAGCUCAACACAUCAGUAGCCAGUAGUACGUGUGUAGUGAAAACCGCAGCGGAAGCAGGCAAAACACAAUCAUCAUCUUAGUUCAUUAUUAUACAAACACAAGACGCAAUACAAGGGAAGAUUAGGAUGUCCAAGAUGAGCAUGCCAAGCACAGCGAGGACAGGCUUGCUCCAGGCCCUCUGGAUAUCGUCGAGGACGGCUGCCUUGCACGAGUCGCACUGGAAGCAUAGCGUUUCCUGCUGGUUGCUCCACCUGCCGCAGUCGUCGCUGUUGUUGGUUGGGCCGGCGCCUUGUGUUGGUGUCCACGUCGUCUGAUUCACGUACGUGAAUGCACACGAUAAUGGUGGCUUGCAGCAUCCAGACUGUCCAUAUGCAAUCACAGGAUGAGGUCAGAUCAGAGUAUUCCAGUACUUAACAUACACAAAAAAAAAGACGUGGAAACAAGCGAUCAGAGAUAGAGGAAGCAUGCACACCUGGAUCGGCGAGAGGCCCUGCUCGGAGUAGAGAACGCUUGUGUUUGGGUCGCGUACCAUCGGGCUCAUACCAUCGCAGGCGUGCCUGCGGCGCAGGCACUUGCUGAUUGUGGCCCAGUACCUGGCAUUAGCCAUGCGACGCUUGAGCGAACCGCCGUAGUCACUGAGGUUGUACUCGCGGACCGAGUUGACCUCAAUGGGAUCGAUGUCGAUGCCGGUGAUGUCAAAUUUGGACUCCUCAGGCGUCGGGGAGCCCGUGAUCUUAAUUUUGAUGUCUGUCAGAGCGAAGAUGAUUAAGCAGAGAAAGACGAGGAGGCCCAAGCACUUGACGCACAAGUAGCAGCCAAGUGUUGUUUUCCGCCCGUGGUCGUCGCCGGCGAACACUCCUGCACACAUGAGGAGGAUGGCGACCAAGAAGACGAGACCCAUGGAGAUGAAGGACCACUGAAGGAAGGGGAUGCAAGCCGUGGAGUCGCCUCGCAUGGCUAGUUUGCUGCCCAUGACGAGGCACCCGAUCGAGAAGCACCAAGAGAAACUUACGAACCACUUCAAUAGUAUCGACACAAGUGAUUCCCUCGGUCUCGCUCUCGCUCUCGCCAUCGCUCUCUCUUGCUUGCUUGCUUGAUUGAAGAAGCAGGCUGGUGUGCUUCCUCGCUUAAUUUUUAUAGAGCUAACUAUUCUAGGGGCAGAGAGCUAGGCAAUUUGCAGGACUGAUGGAUCGAGAGUAGUCUGUUUCCCCGUAUAUAUAUUGUAAAAAUUGACGAGGGAUCCGGACGCGCUCGCCUAUGUGCAUGUGAACAGCUUUUAGUUAUAGAAGAGAAUGAAACCACCAUGAACGACAUUAAUUGUUGAAGGAGAAAGCAGUGAGCACAUGCACCCUAGGCCUUAUUUAGGCCUUGUUUAGUUGGCAAAAAUUUUAGAUUUUGGGUACUGUAGCACUUUCGUUUGUUUGUAGCAAAUAUUGUCCAAUCAUAAUCUAAUUAGUGUCAAAAGAUUGAUCUCGCAAUUUACAGGCAAAUUGUGUAAUUAGUUUUUGUUUUCGUCUAAAUUUAAUACUCCAUGCAUAUGCCGCAAGAUUUGAUGUGACGGAGAAUCUUGAAAUUUUUUAGGAACUAAACAAGGCCUUAGUUCACCCUAAAAUCCAAAAAAGUUUCAAAAUUUCCUCGUCAUAUCAAAUCUUACGACACAUGCAUGAAACACUAAAUAUAGAUGAAAACAAAAACUAAUUCCACAAUUUACCUCUAAAUCGCGAGACGAAUCUUUUAAGUCUAGUUACUCUAUGAUUGAACAAUUUUUGUCAAGUAAAAAAGAAAAUGCUACAAUAUUAAAAUCUAAAAUUUUUUUUAUCUAAACAAGGCCUAAAGUGUAGACCGUGUGUGUACACAUGACGGAGAGAGAGAAAAAGGAAAGACCAAAAGAGAACACACGGACGUCAAUAUAUAAUUUGAUCGAGUGACGACCAUACCUACUCUACACUCCGGAUGCGAUCAUACGACGGAGAAAAUAAUUAGAGUAGUAAUAAAGCCUACUCGCAACCACUCCGGAUUAUAUAGACGCCGGUUGUAAAGCCCGCUCGCAAGUGCAUGCAUGCUUGGUCACAAACGAAGGUACACGCGCAGUACGGUCUUGUUUUUUUUAGAAGCUACCUUUAUAUUUCCUUUUUCCGUUCUGUCCUAAUUAAGUACAGUACUUUGUAGACGACCAUCAGGUAGCCAAAGGUAGUGCGCGCUUUGUCCAUGAGCUAUUCCCUUCUCACCAGGCUACAUUAUGCCGUGAACAGGAAGAACAUGGCUAUGCCGGACCAGGGUGACAGGCAGCUUUGCGCCGACCAGAUUUAGCGCCCCAUUUUAUUUAUUCCGGCCCAAGUGAUAUAUUUUUCUUUUCUCUAUGUUACUUUUUAUAUUAUAUAUGUUUUUUAUUGUAAGUUAUUAAUUUAGUUUCUAUAUAUCUCACAUUCAUUAUUUUCAUUUGUUUUUUGUUAUUUUGUAAUAUCUUUAAGUAAUUCGAAAAAGUCUAUAAAACCAUGUGUUGCACACACUAAACUUUGUAAAACCAAACAAAUUAUAUGGUGGUUCUCGUUAUUAGGCAAUCCACAUGCACGUGGGACGAGAAUAGAGGGACAUUUAUAUUCUUACCAUUAUAACGAAGAGCCACUCUCUGGAUCUCACCUUACCCGAUUAUCAUAUUAUUUUAGCAGCGUUGCUUGCGAAACCAUACACUUUUACCACUUUUGAUGAUGUGGCAUGCCAACACAGCUGUCAGGGCAUAGGAAAUGACCUUGCUAACCUUGCCCAACUUCUCUCUAUCUCUCUCUACCAGCAGCUAGCUCUUCUCAAUGACAUGUGGACCCCAGGUUCAUCUUCUACCUCCCCACUCUCUCUCCCUCGCACAGCCCCGGCAGCCAUAGCGGCCUGCCCCGCAUAGGCCCCCGACGACCAUGAUGGCUAGCGCCUCCCUCCUCGCCACGCUCCUGCAGUCCCCACGAGUCUGCCUCCCUGCCCUGCUCCGGUCGUUGCCUACCCUAGAGGCCAUGGCGCCUCGCACCGUACCCGAGGACCAUUCUGGCGACCGAGGUAUCCAAGGCAUACCAAGGUUGCGCGCCGCGCCCUUGUCAGUCUCCUCAACCAUCACCAAUACAGUGCGUACAGCGGAUCGAUUCCCGAUCCGAAUAGCAUUCUGGCUUCACGGUCGGAACGAAUUAUCCUUCCAGUUAAGUGUGGGCAUGCAUUCAACAUGACAAGAGGGCCAUUAACGAUCGGUCCUUAAUCGACACAAACAGAACCACUAUGGUCCAACACCCCCAUAAGGCUUUGCCCGGUCUCAGCUUACUUCCCAACACUUGGUUAUUUCUUAUGAUAGCAACACACUGUUAACCCUUUGGUAUCCACCUAUAUCUCGCAGCUGAUGUGAAUCACCGACUUCUACCGUGCUAAGCAAGCUAAGCAAUGACUCCGAGCCUAUACUAUAUAGGAUAGGGUAAGUAGACAAGUGGUAAUCCAAGGAUUAGUAAUGCAUCAAUGGUAUCAAACAACUCCUAUAACUUAAUGCAAUAAUAUAUGCUAUGUAGAUGCCUCCACUGAACCUGAUUUGCCAUCUCAUAAUAUUCGUCCAGCCGGUCUUGGCAUAGUCAUUGUUAAUACACAGGUUCAGCCAGAAUCGAAGAUUCUUAUUAAAGCUGUCUUAGAUGAUACGUCCUCGGUAAUAAUGGUAGAAGCAGCGGCGUUUACCCUGGCUGCCAAAAUUCUUAUUGCUCUGCAGGUUCCUAAAGCCCACAUCCUAUCAGACAAUAUUGUACUCCUUCAAUUCCUCAGUGAACAAGAUCGUAACCACCCCCCAGAUUGGAGAAUGAAGACUUAUAUACAACAUUUUGAUUCAGCUUUUCAAAGCUCUUCUUUCUCUAUCUACAAGAUUGACAGGAACAACAACGAUGAAGCGGACCUUUUAGCUAGACAGGCUCUUCUGUACAAUUUAGACCACUCUCAGAUUCUCCAUGUUGAAUGUUCUUUCCAGGCUCAUGGUGACCAGUGCACUGUUCUUCAGGCACUAAACAAUGUUUCUAUUCCUUCUUUAAGGAUACUCACACCGUCUUGCUGUUAAUAAAUGCAUUCUGUUUCUUGUCAAAAAAAACCAUCAUGAUAUAUGUAUAUAUACAAGUUAGCAAAAAUUAUGGAGACUUAGAAUGCUCUGGGGCUUGCCUUUCUCAAAGGAACUAGGACGAGGAUCUGGGCACUCUUGCAGCUCCUCGGGCUCGGUCACUGCUUCGAACUCCUACGAGUCUUUGACGGUAGAUAAGUACUCUUUUUAACUGUCAACAUAGCAUGAGAAAGGACUAAAAUCAAAAAAAUCAUCUAGCUAUAGGGGUUAUCACUAACAGAAUUUCACAAGUUUUGGUGAUUAUCUAUUUCUACAGGGGGUUAUCAGAAUAAGAGGGAAAGGAGGUCUACAUAUCAGAUUUACAUGGAGAGAAGACCCCGUCGGUAACUCAGGAACAAUCUAGAAGACUUAGGAAGCCACGCCCUGCAAGCUGGGGCCCACCUAUCAUAGGACAGGGGCGGCUGCCCGAAGCUCUGCACCAAUCAGGUGCAACCUCGCGGAUCCUGCCUCCACCGUCUUUGAGGAGUAAUCUUGACCGUAGGGGGCUAUAAAUACGACCCUAACACCCCCCUCGGAGUCAUUAUUCUCUGAGGAAUUCAGAUAGAGAGAAUUUAGAGAAGCCUAGAGCCACCAUCUCAAUUAGAUCUCAAUAGUUCUAUAGCAUAGCUGCAUAGGAAUAGAUCUAGAAGGAGUCAAGCCUAGCUUGGAGUCCGGAUCUAUCUUCGUUCUUGAUAAAUUCUUAUUCUCUUUGUGAUAUUCAUAUUAGUUCUUGCUACUAUGAAUAUGGCUUUGAUCUAUUUGAUUAUAUCAGAAUUGACUUUAUUUUAUUUGCUUAUGUUCUCAAUUAUAUUGUUAUUAGUCUACAUUGAUUAUAUGUUUAGCGUAGAUAGAUUAAAAUUAUGUUUAUGCAUAGGAUCAUAUUGUUACUAGACACUGGUGUGUAACAUGCAGAAAUACACUAGGUGUAACCGUGUGAGUCAAGAUAUUUUUUUGCAAUGCAGACAAGCAAUACACUAUUAAUCAGGGCACUGUAUCAUGUAACAACAAACAACAACUGAUCAAAAGAAAUAAAAAAAUAUCAAAACUGAGUGACAGUGUUAUGUCCUUUGAUAAUUUUGUUCUAAAUUAUGUCCAAAGAUUAAAAUUCUAAAAUUAAGGGAAAAUAUGAUAUAUCGGUCAUGUAAACAUUAAAUAUUGGGCGUGACAGUAACUCAAGUAGCACACACUACAAUGAACUGCACAAGUAAACCUUGAUUAUAUUCUUGGAAACAUAUAUAUGGAGAUCUAUAUUAUUAUGGAUACACUUACUUAAUGUGUCAGGGAAACUAUACCAAUAUGGGUUCUGCAAAAUUCAAGAAAUAGUACCCUGGUGUGGAGAAUAUCAAUGUAUGUUAUGCAAACUUCAUCUCCCUUGCUAAUUGGUUUUAUGCAACGAACAACAACUCUUGGGCCGUAUUUGCACAGUGCUAGAAAGAGUUAUGGAGAAAGUUUAGAGUGACGAUUUAACAGUUGCAUGUGAAAGUAGAAUGUAAUGAAGUACCAUGAGUAGAAUGAUGUUCUUCAUAUUGCCAAGCAUGCCACUGCAAUAAAAACAAACACAAUAAUACACUUCAUGAUUUUGUCUCAAGUAAAUACUAGAUCAGUAAGUAUUGUCUAACUAGAAUUCGUGUACUGAAACUAUUGAAAUUUUAAACAUGGGUAUCUUCGUAAAUAUUUAGACUCGGCAUAUGAAAAUGGCGUAUACUCAAAACAUUUUUUCAUGUUAUUACAUUUUUUAUUCUACAAAUACAUUACAAUUGAUUGUCAGAAACAACUGUUGUUUGAUUCAAACUAUUUAAAUUUUGAACAAUUGGUGAUCAAAGAAGUGUUUGGGAACCGUAUAUCUGCACAAGCAUUCAAAUAACACUUGUCUAUGAUAAUGAAAGUAUGUUGAACAGUAUUCAAAUAUUUUAUCUUAUUUUUUAUAUGAUACAAGCAAAAGCUCAGUAGGUCUUAAACAAAAUGGUUGUUGUUUCCUUUACCACAUCAGCUGCAACUCCUUUGCUAGCAGGGACUAAACAGGAUUUUGAUUUCUGUGAAGCAUAGUCUUCAUUCCUUGGAGCCAGUACAAACCGGUAAGAAGCACUGGGAAAGCAACUAUGGUUGAACCAUGAGAAACUUGGGCCAUACACUGCAACUCCCAUAGCUAACCCUUCACUAAGUUGCACCUCAACUGUUAGAUGUUUUGGGCCUUGGGCCAAACAAUUCCAAAUAAAUCCCAAAGGUCCACUCAUACAUGCAUGUAUAUAUGGAAAGGUGGGGGACUUUAGUCCCACCUUGCUACUUCAAGUGGAGUGAGGCCAACUUAAAAGGUUGAGCUAUCUUCAUCUUGUUGAAGCAAUUGGGGAGAGAAAAAGGAAGAACCACACGCGCGCGUGCGCUCGCUCACCUCGCCGGGCCGAGCCCGGGCCCGGGCCCGGCGGGGCGGGGCCAAUGGGCGCGCAUGCACGACAUGCGUGUGAAUGGUCCGGCGAUUUUCCGCUUCAACCCUUGCGGGUGCGCGACUUCCUUUUGCUACUUGGAAGUUUUGCAUGCAUGGAGAAGAUUGCGCUGGCCUAUUUGGUAAGCAAUUAUAUUGUAUUAUGGCAAGUGCGUAAACGGCAGGUAAAGUUUCCAUAAUACGGUGAUUGAUUGCUUGCCUAUUUGCUGCGUGCGACGCGUGUAUAAAUAUAGGGCGAGACGUCAUCCUUUGCACCGAGAGAUUCAUCUCUUCCUCGCCACACUACUGCGCUGCCGCCGUCUUCCCCAUCCCGUCGCCGACGUGCCAUCGGUGUCGGGAGAGCAGGCUCCGAAGCCUACGUCUCCUCGCGUCCCUGCAUAGGGUAGGGGGCGUAUUAGGUUUUUGGGAAGCGCCGUCGCGACUGCUCGCUGGACGUCUUCUUUCCACUACGCCCGGUGUUCGCCGAUCUCCAUCGUCGUCUUCUUCUUCUUCUUCCUUCGCGCCGACAAUCCCACUGUAAGGAUGUCUAUCCUCUCUCUGUUAUUCGGUUUUAUAUCAUUUCUGUUGCUAGCACUAGAUCCCGUGAACUUGAUUCAAAUCAUGGUGCUAGUUUCGAUUCAUAUAUCUUUGAUACAUGUUGUUAGCCUUUUUCUUGUUGUCAAAAUUUAUUUUUGCAUCGCUAAAUUUCUUUUAUUUCCAACAAUCCAAAAACCUGAUAGGCAUUUAGCAAUGACUAAGGGAUAUACUGAUGCGAUGAAACCGGAGAAGUUCACUGGUGUGAAUUUCAAGAGAUGGCAGACGAGGGCCUAGUUGUGGCUCACGGCUAUGGGCGUGUUUUGGGUCGUGGGUAAUCCUCCCGCACUACCUCUCGGAUCUGAGAAAGAGGUGCAGGAGUUUACUGCGGCUACGACGAUUUUCGUCGGAUGCGUUCUUAGUGUUCUCUCUGACCAGCUGUGUGAUGUUUACAUGAACAUCAAAAGUGUUGCUAAACUGUGGGAGGCACUUGAACAUAAGUUCGGUGCUGCAGACGCUGGGCAUGAGUUGUAUGUGAUGGAGAAGUACCACGACUUCAAAAUGGUUGAAAACCGUUCAGUCGUGGAACAGGCUCAUGAGUUCCAACUUAUUGUGAGGGAACUUGAACAACUCGGACAUGUCUUGCCAGACAAGUUUGUGGCUGGUGGUAUAAUUGCCAAGUUGCCUCCGUCAUGGAGAAACUUUACCACAACUCUGAAACAUAAAAGACAGAAGAUCUCAGUUGAGGAUCUGUUGGCUGGUCUUGAAGUUGAAGAGAAGGCUCGAGCAAAGGAUGCUCCACCAAAAGCCCCAGAACAGUCUAGUGCCAAUGUGGUGCAGCAUGCUAUCAAGAACAAGUAGAAGGCUAUUCAGACUACUCAAUUCAAGAAGAAGAAGAUGAACAUGGAUGAAGUUGUGUGCUUCGUUUGCGGUGAGAAUGGACAUUUCGCCAAGAAGUGCAAGAACCGCAAAGGCAGGAAGAAUCAGUAGGGGCAGAAAUCUGCCAACGUGACUAUUGGCGAUCCUAGCAGAUCUGGGUACAGUAAUUAUUUACCUAGUGCAUUUUCUAUAUUUCAAUCUAAUGAUUGGUGGAUUGAUACAGGAGCCAAUAUUUAUGUUUGUACUGAUAUUUCUAUGUUUUUAUCUUACCAGAUCACACGAGGUUCAACCGUCAUGAUGGGGAACGGCUCGCAUGCUUUUGUUCUUGGUGUUGGUUCGGUCGAUCUGAAGUUCACUUCGGGAAAGAUGGUGUGGCUCAAGAACGUGCAGCAUGCGCCCUCAAUAAAGAAGAACCUCGUUAGUGGAUCCCUCUUAUGUCGAGAUGGGUUCAAGGUGGUAUUUGAGUCAAAUAAAGUAGUCGUCUCGAGGUAUGGCCAAUUCAUUGGCAAAGGCUACGAGAGCGGAGGCUUGUUUCGCUUUUCACUCACUGAUUUCUGUAAUAAAGUUGUGAACCAUGUGUGUGAUUCAAACAAUUCAGUGGCUGAUAUAUGGCAUUCACGUUUAUGUCACAUUAAUUUUGGUUGUAUGACGUGUUUAUCCAGUAUGAGUUUAAUUCCAAACUUUUCUAUUGUCAAAGGCUCUAAAUGUCAAGCAUGUGUGCAAGCAAAGCAACCUCGUAAGCCUCACAAGGCUGUAGACGAGAGGUGCACGACAUUACUAGAGCUCAUACAUUCUGACAUUUGUGAAAUGAAUGGUGUGUUGACAAAAGGAGGAAAAAGGUAUUUCAUGACUUUAACAUUGAUGAUGCAACUAAAUAUUGCUAUGUGUUUCUUCUAAAAACUAAAGAUGAGGUGUUUGAAUGUUUUAAGACUUAUAAGGCUGAGGUAGAGAACCAAUUAGAAAAGAAAAUCAAGUGUGUUAGGUCUGAUCGUGGCGGGGAGUAUUUUUCCAAUGAGUUUGAUCUUUUCUGUGCGGAGAAUGGAAUAAUUCAUGAACGGACACCACCAUAUUUGCCCCAAUCUAAUGGGGUUGCCGAAAGAAAGAACCAGACGUUAAUAGACUUGGUGAAUGUCAUGUUAGGAACAUCUGGUAUGGCUAAAGCAUGGUGGGGGAGGCUGUAUUAACAGCAUGUCAUGUUCUAAAUAGAGUUCCAACUAAGAAUAGUGAAGUUACUUCGUAUGAAGGAUGGAAAGGAAGGAAACCAUCAUCCAUUACUUGUGUACGUGGGGCUGUUUGGCCAUGGUCAGCGUACCAAUUAAUAAGAAACGCAAGCUUGGACCAAAGACCGUUGAUCGUAUCUUUUUGGGUUAUGCACACCAUAGCACGGCUUAUAAGUUCUUAGUGAUAAAAUCUGAAGCGCUUGAUGUUUUAGUUGUUACACUGUUGGAGUCACGGGAUGUUACUUUCUUUGAGAAUAUUUUCCCGAUGAAUGUUGCUUAUUCUUUACCGAGUUCGUCUAAUGAAUUUAUUCCUGAGCCCACACUUGCGAUAGAGCCAUUUAUAGACCCACUUGGUAUUGAAGAGGAUAGCAAUGUUGUAGCUCCUAGAAGGAGUAAGAGACAAAGGGUUGAAAAAUCCUUUGGUGAUGACUUCAUUGUCUAUCUCAUAGAUGAUACUCCCACGACCAUUGCAGAGGCAUAUGCAUCACCAGAUGCAGAUCAUUGGAAGGAUGCAGUCCGUAGUGAGAUGGACUCCAUCACUACAAAUGGAACAUGGGAAGUAGUAGAUAAACCCGUGGGUUGCAGACCAAUUGGCUGUAAAUGGGUAUUUAAGAAGAAACUCAGGCCUGAUGGUACUAUUGAAAAGUACAAGGCAAGGCUCGUUGCUAAAGGUUUUACAGAGAAAGAAGAUGAGGAUUUCUUUGAUACCUACUCACCUGUUACCAGAUUAACUACAAUCCGAAUGCUAUUAUCCUUGGCUGCUUCCCAUAAGCUUCUUGUCCAUCAGAUGGACGUGAAGACGCCUUUUCUUAAUGGAGAGUUAGAGGAAGAAAUUUAUAUGAAUCAGCCUGAUGGAUUUAUAGCACAAGGACAAGAGGGCAAGGUGUGCAGGUUACUUAAAUCCUUGUACGGCUUAAAGCAAGCAAGAAAGCAGUGGCAUGAGAAGUUUGAAAAGACGUUGACCUCUGUUGGGUUUGCAAUAAAUGAAGCCGACACUUGUGUGUAUUACCGUUAUGGUGGGGGCAAAGGAGUAAUCUUGUGUUUGUAUGUUGACAACAUACUAAUUUUUGGGACGAGCAUCGAUGAGAUCAAUGAUGUUAAAUCAUUCUUAUCCCAAAAUUUUGACAUGAAAGAUUUGGGAGAAGCUGAUGUGAUCCUUAAUAUUAAACUUAAUAAGGGUGAGAAUGGGAUUACUCUUUUGCAGUCUCAUUAUGUGGAAAAGGUUUUGAACCGUUUCGGUUAUAUGGAUUGCAAACCUUCUCCAACACCCUAUGAUCCUAGUCUAAUACUUCAAAAGAAUAAAAGGCUAGGAAAGGAUCAUCUAAGAUCCUCUCAAAUUAUUGGCUCAUUGAUGUAUCUAGCUAGCGCAACCCGCCCUGAUAUCUCAUUUGUUGUAAGCAAGUUGAGUAGAUUUUCCUCUAAUCCAGGAAGUGAUCAUUGGCGUGGUAUUGAUUGGGUAAUGCGUUACCUAAAAGGUACAAUGAGUUAUGCAAUUCACUAUUCAGGGUACCUAGGGGUACUUGAAGGAUAUAGUGAUUCAAACUGGAUUUUAGAAGCUGAUGAGCUUAAGGCCACUAGUGGAUACAUAUUCACUCUGGGUGGUGGUGCUGUCUCUUGGAGGUCUUGUAAGCAGACAAUACUUACAAAGUCCACAAUGGAGGCAGAGCUUACAGCUCUAGAUACAGCUUCUACUGUGGCUGAGUGGCUAAGAGAUAUGUUGAUGGACUUGCCGUUGGUUGACAAACCAAUUCCUGCUAUUCUCAUAAACUGUGAUAAUCAAACAAUGAUCACAAAGGUGAAGAAUAGUCAGGAUAAUGGGAAAAAGUCCAGCAAACUUAUAAAGCGUAGACUGAAGUCAGUCAGGAAAUUAAGGAGCUCCGGAGUAAUAGCUGUGGACUACAUCCAGACAGCUAAAAACCUGGCAGAUCCCUUUACAAAGGGACUAUCACGCACCGUGAUUGAUAAUGCAUCGAAGAAGAUGGGAUUGAGACCCAUGUGAGUUAACCUCAGCAGUAACCCAAACUAUGUGAUCGGAGAUCCCAUGAAUUAGGACCUGGGAAGAACAAGUUGUUGGUUAAUGGGAGAGUACAACUGUUUCAUUUGACCCACUCCGUUGGAGAUGCAGUACUCUCAUUUCUAUAAGGCAGGUUGACUUUGUCUUAAUGUGUUCUGAGGCUUUAUAGCAAGAUACUGUCCUACAGAGUAUUCUUGUAAGAACACACCUAUGUGAGCCCAACUGUUAAUAGCAGUUUAUAAGAAUUGUGUAUUCUUUAAUAGGCUCAUGAAGUGAGUUAGAAGUAUGACUUAUACGCUCCACUCGCGGGGUUGACUAUGGCAGCCUAGUACCAAUCAAGACUUCGAGUGAAGCCUAUUCGCACCAAACUGCCAAUUCAAAGCCUAGUCCAUUGUGCAGUUGCGGAUGGGUCUAUCUUGUUGUUCUAGGUGGAUGUUCAACCUUAAUAAGUCUCCACUGAAUAGCUGGUAUAUUAAUAGUACUGUGGUACAGAGAGUAUGACUCGCGUGCCCUUGGGAUGUGGUGGGGGAUUGUUAGAUGUUUUGGGCCUUGGGCCAAACAAUUCCAAAUAAAUCCCAAAGGCCCACUCAUACAUGCAUGUAUAUAUGGAAAGGUGGGGGACUUUAGUCUCACCUUGCUACUUCAAGUGGAGUGAGGCCAACUUAAAAGGUUGAGCUAUCUUCAUCUUGUUGAAGCAAUUGGGGAGAGGAAAAGGAAGAACCACACGCGCGCGCGCUCGCCUCGUCGGGCCGGGGCGGGGCCAAUGGGCGCGCAUGCACGACAUGCACGUGAAUGGUCCGGCGAUUUCCCGCUUCAACCCUUGCGGGUGCGCGGCUUCCUUUUGCUACUUGGAAGUUUUGCAUGCAUGGAGGAGAUUGCGCUGGCCUAUUUGGUAAGCAAUUAUUCUUGUAUUAUGGUAAGUGCGUAAACGGCAGGUAAAGUUUCCAUAAUACGGUGAUUGAUUGCUUGCCUAUUUGCUGCGUGCGACGCGUGUAUAAAUAUAGGGCGAGACGUCAUCCUUUGCACCGAGAGAUUCAUCUCUUCCUCGCCACACUACUGCGCUGCCGCCGUCUUCCCCAUCCCGUCGCCGACGUGCCAUCGGUGUCGGGAGAGCAGGCUCCGAAGCCUACGUCUCCUCGCGUCCCUGCACGGGGUAGGGGGUGUAUUAGGUUUUUGGGAAGCGGCGUCGCGACUACUCGCUGGACGUCUUCUUUCCACUACGCCCGGUGUUCGCCGAUCUCCAUCGACGUCUUCUUCUUCUUCUUCCUUUGCGCUGACAAUCCUACUGUAAGGUUGUCUAUCCUCUCUCUGUUAUUCGGUUUCAUAUCAUUUCUGUUGCAGCACUAGAUCCCGUGAACUUGAUUCAAAUCGUAGUGCUAGUUUCGAUUCAUAUAUCUGUGAUACAUGUUGUUAGCCUUUUUCUUGUUGUCGGAAUUAAUUUUUGCAUCGCUAAAUUGCUUUUAUUUCCAACAUCAACACUAUUGAUAAUCACUGCCCAUAAAGCCAUCUUCUCAACUUUAAGCCUAUCGGGAAAAAUAAAAGAAGUCUGUGCCCUUGAUUUUAUGGCAGAUGACAUCAAUAAGCUUCCCUCCAGUAUCCUCUCAGCAAUAACCUCACCUUCCUCCAAAACUUCCUCAAUACCACUUGCUGAAAGUCCACCAAUUCUCCUGUAGUUAUCAAUUGAAUCAGACGAAACAAGACCAUGCAUCUCAAGCACAUAAAGAAGCCGGAGGGCAGCACGCAAAUCACUGUUCCUUCAGUAACAAAAGGAAGGGGAGGCUCCCUUGAGGUGGUCCACGAAGAAGCAACAUUCACCAGAAGAAAAAUGCACUGCUGAAUCUGCACCAAAGCACCCUGAGCAGCAGUACCGAAGAGAACAGCAAAUCGUGCAAGAAACUACACAAGGGGCUUGUGGCAGUAACUUGGUG